UCGGUCUCCGGUUGGAUGGUUUGAGCCAGGAGAGGCUCGAUUUUUUGGUACGAAUCUGGUUCAGGAGACCUUGGACAAGGUCAGGAUCAUUCGAGAUAGUAUUUGUACAACUGAGUCCAGGAAAAAGAGCGAUGCCGACCGCAAUGUUCGAGAUUUGGUUUUCAUGGUCGGUGAGCGGGUAUUGCUUCGAGUGUCACCUUUGAAGGGUGUGAUGAGAUUUGGGAAGAAGGGCAAGCUUAGCCCUAGUUUAUUGGUCCAUUUGAGAUUCUUGAUCGAGGGGGAGAGGUGGCUUAUAGACUUGCAUUGCCGCCGAGCUUAUCAAUCGUGCAUCCAGUGUUCCAUGUGUCCAUACUUCAGAAAUAUCACGGUGAUCCAUCCGAUAUGUAGAUUUAGGCACCAUCCAGUUGGACAAGGACUUGUCUUAUAAGGAGGAGCCGGUGGCUAUUCUAGAACGGCAGGUUCGUCAGUUAAGGUCGAAGAGUUCUCCUUUUGUUUGUGUUCAGUAGAGAGAUCAUCCUCCUAAGGCAUCGACAAGGGAGUCUGAGUCGGAUAUGCAGAGCGGUUAUUCCCAUCUUUUCCCGACUUAGGUAUUUUCUGCUUAUGUCCGUUCGAGGACGAAAGUUGUUUUAGAGGUGGAGGAUGUGAUGACCGAAAAGUUCAUCACUUCUUUUUAAAUUAAAUUCUAUAUUUUUAGGCCUUAUAAACCUCUUUUAGCCUUGCCUCGAUUUACGUGCACAGUCUGGGCGCGUAGCCGGAAGCUUAUAUGUGAAAAUUUGUGAAAAAUGAUAAAAUUUGGCUAAUAAAUGAAUUAAUUUGACUUCGGUCAGCAUUUUGAGUAAACGGACCCGAAACCCUAACUUGACGGUCCUGGAGGGUUAGUAUGAAAUUACGGAACUUGGGCGUAUGCCUGUAAUCUAAUUUCGAGGUCCUAAGCCCUAGAAAUGAAUUUUAAAGAAAAUUAUUUUCUGAAAUUGCUUAUGGUAUUUAUAAAUGAAAUUUUAUUAGAACAUGUUAGUAUCGGGCCCAUAUUUUGGUUCCGGUGCCCGGUACAGGUCUUAUAUAUGAUUUAAGAUGUUUACGUGAAUUUGGUUAAAAAACGGAUAUCAUUUGACGUCAUUCGGAGCUAAGUUGCUAAAGUUUAUAUUUUAUGGAGUUUGAGAAAAAUCCUUUGAUUUUGAGGUUUAAUUCGUUGUUAUUGAGGUUAUUUUGGUGAUUUGAUCGCACGGAUAAGUUCGUAUUAUGUUGUUCAUUUAGAACGUAUGUUUGAUUAGGAGAUAUAAGGGCUCGGGUGUGUUUCGGAAGGUUUCGGACUUAAGAAAAAUAAUAGGUUUUCAACUAUUGGAUUUCUGGUAUUUCCUUCUUUGUGUUCGCCGUAGUAACUACGCAAACGCGAUGAGUUUAUUUUUGCUGAAGGAUUUUCCUUCUACGUGCACACGUAGCUCAGGUCGCGAGCGCGAGGCUUUGGGGGGGGUAUCCCUUCACGAACACGGUCCUGGCUACCCGAGCGCGAAGGCCAAAUGGGCCAAAUGAUAUUCAAUUAUAGAGAAACCCCCAAAACAUGAAUACAAAUCCAAACAACCCUAAUUUAGGUUUGAAUUAACUACUGAACUAUCAAUUAUCCGUCAAAUAGAAAACAAACAAAAUUAAUUAACAACACAUACUCAUGCUAUAUCAUUACGAACACGGGGAAGAAAAGAAAUCAGAGACUUGAGACAAAUUUAAGAACACUGAUCAAGCCAACCAUCAACGCACAAACUAGAUUAAAACAUAUGCAAGGUGGAAUAAAAAAAAAGAUUAAGAAAACUUACCAAAUAAACUUUGACCCAGAAUGACCUCCGAUUUGAGCCUCAAAAUGAUGUCAAUCAUUUGCCCUUUUCCAAGAGCAACAAAUUUAAUUCGUGGCUAAAUCGAGCUCUGAACUUGUGAAGACAUGAAAUUAAUUCUGGUUCAUAGGAACCGGGUCUUUGGAUUUCCAGGGUUAAACUAAUUUCAAGAUUCGAUGGGUUUUGGAGUUAUUCAAAGGAAACCAACAUGGUAUUUGGCAUGGGGGAGGGACUGGUAGUCAUUUAAUAUCGAUUUGGUGGGAAAAAGGGUCGGCGCCGCCGCGCACGGCGGAUGAGUCGAAGCACCACUCAUGGAAUUGGAUAGAGGAGGUUGAAGGGACGAGAUGGUGUUAUUUUGGUGGGGUUUGGAACACUGCUGCCGAUUGAGGCGAUUUCCGGCUGAUGGCAUUUGGGUUUUCUAUGACAGAUUAGAGAGACAAGGUAUGAGGUCUUCUAGGGGGUGGGGUGUUUUGGCACUUAUAUAUGAAAUACAACCCAGCUCCAAUACCGUCCGAUCAAAUGAAAUAGACGGCUCUAAUUAGCCGUUACAAAAACGGCGUCGUUUUGGGUGAUGGACUAGACCAGUUUUAGGGUUGGGCUGGACCAGAUCAAGGGUGCGUUUGGGCUGGGUUCUAAUUCAAGUGACCCAAUGAUUUUAUUCUUCGUUAAUUAAAUGAAUUUUCAGAUUUUUUUCGCUUGUUUUUUCAUUUUAUUUUUUUUCAUUCUCACAAAUUACUAAAACUCCUAAUAUAAUUACAAAAUCUCAAUUUUACCUAUAAAAUACAACCCAAUCCUAUAUAAUUAUUAUCAAACAAAAUUUUAAAAAAUUACCUAAAAAUUCAAAGUUAUAACUAAAAGAGCAAAUUGAACCUUUUUUUUUGUUUUUAUAAAAUGACUUAUUGCUAAUUAAUGCUAGAAAAAUGUCAAAAACCUAUCCGACAUAUUUUUGUAUUUUUGAUGAAUAUGUGUUAAAUUAAAAUACACACAAAAUGCAAACAAUUAACAAAAAAUGUCACGAAACUCCUACAAAUUGCAAACAAAUAAAAAGACUGAUUUUGUUUGAAUUUAUAGGAGUAAUUCAUGUUGGGCAAAACUCACAUGCUCAAAGCUGCCCCUUUUUGCCUGGAAACACGAAGAGUUUUCGUGCAAAGACAAGUGAGUGAUCAUGAGCGAUUUUUGCCUGUCUGAAUAUUCAGUGCUUUAGAGGUUGCCUACAUAUCCUCGGCUAAAGAAGAAUCAGGUUAGUAUAGUUCAGGAGUGUUUGGUAGCUGGGACUACCAAACUUGUGAUCUCACUAUUGCUGCCACUUCUUGCAGACCCCCUUUAUUACACCAUGUAAAAAUAAAAAUAAACUAGACCAAGCUAUGAACUAUGGAUUACACAAGAACCUAUCUAUGUCUUCAAACUUGCUCUUGAUCUUUGUUACUUUGUUGCCUUGUGUACCUCCCUGUGAAACUUCUUGUUGUCUUGUUGUACUUCCUUCUGUGAAACUUCUCGUUGCCCUGUUGCUAUGUUUCUCUUUCUCCAUGUUGAUGCUUGAUUGUUGGACUUGACUUGUAUUCACUUGUUCUACAGGUGGGCGCCUAAGUACCAAAACUUGAACAGUAUUCCCUUGUUCUCCAAGUGGGCGCCUGAUUACCAAAACUAGAAAACUUGAAACCUAUUCCCUUGUUCUCCAGGUGGGCGCCUAAUUACCAAAACUUGAAAAGUAUUCCCUUGUUCUCCAGGUGGGCAUCUGAUUACUAAAACUUGAAAACAUUAAAAGUAUUCCCUUGUUCUCCAGGUGGGUGCCCAUUACCAAAACUUGGAAACUUGAAAUAUAUUCCCUUGUUCUCCUGGUGGGCGCAUGAUUACAAAAACUAGAAACUUGAAAAGUAUUCCCUGAAUUGUAUUCCCUUGUUCUCCAGGUGGGCGCCAGAUUACCAAAACUUGGAACUUGAAAUGUAUUCCCUUGUUCUCCAGGUGGGCGCCUGAUUACCAAAGCUUGGAACUUGAAAAAUAUUCCCUGGUUCUCCAAGUGGGCACCUCAUUGACAAAACAUGAAACUUGUAAAGUAUUCCCUUGUUCUCGAGGUGGGCGCCUAGUUACCAAAACUUGAAAAGUAUUCCCACGCUCUCUAGGUGGGCGCCUGAUUAUCAAAACAUGAAGCUUGAAAAGCAUUCCCUUGUUCUCCAGGUGGACGCCUGAUUACCAAAACUUGAAACUUGAAAAGUAUUCCUUUGUUCUCCAGGUGUGCUCCUGAUUACCAAAACUUGAAACUUGAAAAGUAUUCCCUUGUCAUGGUUACCGAAACUUAAAGCUUGAAAUGUAUUCCCUUCUUCUCCAGGCGGGCGCUUGAUUACCAAAAUUUGGAACUUGAAAUGUAUUCCCUUGUUCUCCAGGUGGUCACCUGAUUACCAAAAUUUGAAACUUGGGAAGUAUUCCCUUGUUCUCCAGGUGGGCGCUUGAUUACCAACACUUAAAACUUGAAAUGUAUUCCCUUGUUCUCCAGGUGGGCGCCUGAUUACCAAAACUUGAAGCUUGAAAUGUAUCCCUUGUUCUUCAGGUGGGCUCCUGAUUACCAAAACUAGAAAACUUGAAACCUAUUCCCUUGUUCUCCAGGUGGGCGCCUGAUUACCAAAACUUAAAAACUUGAAACCUAUUCCCUUGUUCUCCAGGUGGGCGCCUCAUUACCAAAACUUAAUAACUUGAAAAGUAUUCCCUUGUUCUCCAGGUGGGCAUCUGAUUACUAAAACUUGAUACCAUUAAAAGUAUUCCUUUGUUCUCAGGUGGGUGCCUAAUUACCAAAACUUGAAAACUAAAUAUAUUCCCUUGUUCUCCUGGUGGGCGCAUGAUUACUAAAACUAGAAAUUUGAAAAGUAUUCCCUUGUUCUCCACGUGGGCGCCACAUUACCAAAACAUGGAACUUGAAAUGUAUUCCCUUGUUCUCCAGGUAGGCGCCAGAUUACCAAAACUUGGAACUUGAAAUGUAUUCCCUUGUUCUCCAGGUGGGCGCUUGAUUACCUAAACUUGGAAUUUGAAAUGUAUUCCCUUUUUCUCCAGGUGGGCGCCAGAUUACCAAAACUUGAAACUUGAAAUGUAUUUCCUCAUUCUCCAGGUGGGUGCCUGAUUACCAAAACUUGAAACUUUAAAAGUAUAUCCUUGUUCCUUAUGUGGGUGCCGGACUACCAAAACUUGAAAACUUGAAAAGUAUUCCCUUGUUCUCCAGGUGAGCGCUUGAUUACCAAAACUUGGAACUUGAAAUGUAUUCCCUUGUUCUCUAGGUAUGCGCCUAAUUACUAAAACUUGAAACUUGGAAAGUAUUCCCUUAUUUCCAGAUGAGCGCCUGAUUACCAAAAGUUAAAACUUGAAAUGUAUUCCCUUGUUCUCCAGGUGAGCGCUUGAUUACCAAAAUUUGAAGCUUUAAAAAUAUUCCCUUGUUCUCCUGGUGGGUGCCUGAUUACCAAAAUUUGAGACUUGAAAUAUAUUACCUUAUUCUCUAAGUGGGCACCUGAUUACCAAAACUUGAAACUUGAAAUGUAUUCCCUUGUUCUCAGGUGGAUGCCUGAUUGCCAAAACUUGAAACUUGAAAUGUAUUCCAUGUUCUUCAGGUGAACGCCUGAUUACAAAAACUUGAAACUUGGAAAGUAUUCCCUUAUUCUCUAGGUGGGUGCCUGAUUACCAAAACUUGAAACUAGAAAUGUAUUCCCUUGUUCUCUAAGUGGGCGCAUGAUUAUCAAAAUUUGAAGCUUGAAAAGUAUCCCCUUAUUCUCCAGGUGGGCGCCUGAUUACCAAAACUUGAAACUUGAAAUAUAUUCCCUUGUUCUCCAAAUGGGCUCCUGAUUACCAAAACUUGAGACUUGAAAAGUAUUCCAUGAAACUGCUGCCUUUAAACCUUUUUAUAACAAAACAAACAAAAAGAAAAGAAAUUUUUCCUGCCGUAGUUCAGUGCUGGGUGUAUUUGUGAGUGUUAAUCAAAUCCCGUUACAAUGAUAUUUCAAAAAGCUAAAUCCCACUAAUCCAGGUAUUACUUCUAUUGUGUCUUGUUAUCUAUGUUAUCAGCUGGGGACCAGUAAUUAAGGAAGGCUAUAUCCUAUUAUCCACGAGGGUCCUCACAAUUCUUAAUUAAGACAAAUAUUAAAUCCGAAUCAUGUCUGCUGGGGAUAAAUGUUUAGAGCUACAUCACAUUAUCCCAGAUGGUUCUGACAACCUUUUUAAAAUUAAGUCCCACUAUCACAUUAUCCCAGAUGGUCCUGACGACCCUUGUUGGGGAAAUCUUUAUGCCUAACCAUGCUACCCAUGCUUGUUUGAGUUUUAAACCUAGUCCUAUUUUCUAAGAGGGUCUUGACAACUCUUAAUUGAAUCCUAUUUGAACAUGCAAGUUACUUCAUGCUCUUUCUUAUUCCUGACUAUCUCCAACCUUUAUAUAAGGCCCAUUUUCCAGGAGAGUCCUGAGAAUCACAAAUUAAGUGCCCAUUUUAACUCUCAGUUCUCUCUACUGGGGAUUUCUAGUUAAAGUUACGUCCCAUUAUUCAGGCGGGUCCUGACGACUCUUAUAGGGGAAUUAUUUGUGCCAGAUUAGGCUCCCGUUGAAUUUUUAACUGAAUCCCAUUUUCUAGGAGGGUCCUGAGGUUCUCGAUCAUACCUGCCAUGUGCUUGCUUUCCCCUGUGGGGCACUUUCUGGAGAUGUUCCAGAAUUUUCUGCCCAUGUUUCAUUCAAUGAAAAUUAGUUUGAAAAAGUGGUGGUUAGCUUGUGGCAUUCUUGCUGCAAAUGGCCUCACCAUUAUCAUGUUCUAUUGUGUCCAAUUUCCGUACUGAUGAUGAGCCGCCUGAUUUUUCUCGACUGGCCCCUAAACCCUAUGGCUCUUAGAUGAACCGACUGAUCUCUUCCCCAUUCAUUGUGUUACACUCCUGACCCUUUGCCAAAAUCCUUUCAUUGAUUCUUCCCCUAACCGUUUCUACUUUUGAUGCCUUUAUUAUGUUUGGGACGACAUGUGCCUUUCCAUUUGGGAGUUGGUAGUAAGCGUUCAAAUUUCUCUCCUGCUUGCUUGAACACAAUUACUUUGGAAAUAUCUUAGAAGAAAAAUGAAGACCCGAAAGAAAAUUAAAUGCAAUGAAUCUGAAUUUUUAGAAUAAAAGAAUUCCAAAUUUGGCGACUAUUUAGAGGGAAAUGAGGAGAAACUUAUAUGUGGAGGAACAACUGGUUCCCAUGGUUAUGACAUCCACUUCGGCUUAGUCAACCCAGUCUGUCGAAAUGAUCGGCCUUCGGCUGUAUGCUUUGUAGUUGUGACCUUCUUUAAACCCAAACCCUUUAACCAAAUCCUGACCUUGCUUAAUUUAUGAUGUUCUUAACAGAUUUCCAGCGACAACCUUUUUCCAGUUGUUCAUUUCUUGCCUUGCCUUCGCCUUAUGUUGCCCGUGAGGGUUUUUACCGACAAAAGUCUCUCAUUUUCAUUUCUCUCAGCUCCUAUCGCCUUACGGUGCCCAUGAGGGUUUUCACCAAUAAGACUCUCUCAUUUUCAUUUCUCUCAGCUCCCAUCACCUUACGAUGCCCGUGAGGGUUUUCACCAAUAAGACUCUCUUAUUUUUAUAUUUCUUGUUUGAGCUAGAGUGUUGCCCCGGGAUAUGAAUUACCUCUUCUUUCUUGACUCGGUAUUUCCUAAAGACUGAUAAGAAGGGCUUUCCUUGGACCAUAAUGUAGGCUUUUGGAUAAGGUUAGAAAGAAAAGGGUAUUGAAGGCUCAAAAUACUUCAAAUGGUUUCAAAAGUUACAACUUUCGGAAUCAAAUUUUCUUACACCGACCGCAACUUCUGCCCCAGUUUCUUGCUUGGGGCCUUUGAAUUUUUAUUAUAAUGUGACCGAGCCGUGAGGCUGCCUACGUAUCCUUUGAAAGGAAUCAGGUCAAACGUAGUUCAUGCCGAUUCCUUGUUUUUGUGGUCUUCUCUUUUCUUCUUUUCCUUACUCUGUUUCUUCAUUUUUCUUUUGUUGUUUUACUGUUUUGUGGUUUUUCCUUUCUCUCUCUUUUUUUUCUUUGUUUUUCUUUUCCCAUUUUUUUCUUUUUGUUUUUUUUCUCCUCUUUUUCUUUUCUUUUCUUUUUCUUCUUUUUUUCCUUUUUUUUUCUUCUUCUUCCUUCUCUUUUCUCUUUUUUUGUCUUUUCAUUCUUUCCUUUUAUUUUCCUUUCACUGUCUUCUUACACUUGCAUUUUUUAGUUUUGUUACUGAUUCCAAAAGAGGGGUAUUAAAGCUCAAAAGGGUUAGCAAAUGAUAGAGUGUUUAGACAGCCGAAUAAAAUGCCUUCAUCAUUUCGAUCUCUAAAACAUGCCAAGUACAAACAAAUUGCCAAGUAUAAACAAUGAUUUGGACAAAGAAAAUCAUACAUAGUAUCUCUUAGCUGCAUCUGAAUUUAUUGCCAUUUCUACACACUUGCCUUCCAUAUUGGUUAGAUACAACGCCCCGUUGGACAACACUCUUGACACGAUGAACGGCCCUUGCCAAUUUGAGGCGAACUUGCCCUUUGCCUCUGCCUGAUUCAGGAGGAUGCGUUUCAAUACCAACUGACCCACUUACCUUCUUGGACGCACUUUCUUGUUAUAUGCUCUGGCCAUUCUUUGUUGAUAAAACUGGCCGUGACAUACCGCUGCCAAUCUUUUUUCAUCAAUCAAACUCAAUUGCUCCAGAAAGGCUUUGACCCAUUCCUCAUCAUCAAUUUCUACCUCGGCAACAAUUUGAAGGGACGAGAUUUUCAUUUUAACCGGGAUUACUACUUAUGUGCCAUAUACUAACAAAUAUGGAGUUGCCCCUACUGAGGUGCGGACAGUAGUGCGAUAGCCUAAUAGUGCGAAUGGUAGAUUCUCAUACCAUUGCCUGGACCCUUCCACCAUUUUUCGAAGUAUCUUCUUUAUAUUCUUAUUAGCUGCCUCAACUGCUCCAUUUGCCUUGGGGCGGUAUGGGGUGGAAUUGUGAUGUGUAAUCUUAAACUGUUGACAUGCCUCUUUCAUCAAAUACCAAGAGAUUCGCUCCAUUAUCAGUGAUGAGUGUCUUUGGAAUUCCAAACCAACAAAUGAUAUUUGAAUGUACAUAGUCGACUAUGGCUUUCUCGGUCACCGCCUUGAAAGUUUUAGCUUUGACCAACUUAGUAAAAUUAAUAACAACUAGGAUGAACCUGUGUCCGUUGGCAGAUGCUGGCUCGAUGGGCCUGAUGACAUCCAUGACCCAAGAAACGAAGGGCCAUGGUGCAGCCAUAUUAUGCAAUUUAGAUGGCAAGGAGUGAAUCAAGUCUCCAUGCACUUGACAUUGAUGACAUUUGCUCACGAAACUGAUACAGUCACACUCCAUGGUGAGCCAGUAAUACCCUUCGUGGAGAAUCUUCUUUGCCAAAAUAUAUCCAUUCAUGUGCGGUUCGUAGACUCUGGAAUAUACCUCGGUCAUGAUAGUUGUGGCUUCUCCAGCAUCUAUGCAGCUCAACAACCCAUGGUCCGGCGUUCUUUUGUAUAGCACCCCUCCACUAAGGAAAACCCAGCUUGAUAGAUGACGGAUUGCUCUCUUUUGGUCAUUUAUGGCCUGUACUAGGUACACAUCCAUCAUGAUAUAUUCCUUGUUGUCAUGAAACCAAGGCUCACCAUCAAGCUUGUCCUCCACCAUAUUACAGUAAUCAUGUUUUGUCAUGGACUUGUAUGUACAAUGGAUCAACAUAAGCCUUGUCUGGAUGAUGUAACAUUGAUGCCAAAGUGGCCAAAGCAUCAAAAACCUCAUUAUGAAUUCUUGGGAUAUGCCUGAACUCUACUAAUCGGAAUCGUUGACAAAGGUCGUGCAAGCAUUGUCGGUAUGGUAUGAGCUUCAAAUCCCGUGUUUCCCACUCCCCUUGAAUCUCUAGAAGGUCUGAGUCUCCCAAGACCAAGACUUCCUGGACACCCAUGUCUGCAGCUAACCUCAAACCCAAAAUGCAUGCCUGAUAUUCUGCCAUGUUGUUAGUGCAAUAGAAGCGGAGAUGAGCUAUAACGGGGUUAUGUUUCCCUAUUUUAGAAAUGAGUACUACUCUUCUCCCUACGCCUUUUAUGUUGGCAGCCUCAUCGAAAAAUAAUUUCCAUCCCGACUUCUUCCCCUGUUCCAUUUCAUCAACAUGCAUUACCUCAUCGUCCGGGAAGUAUGUCUGUAAAGAUUCAUAUUCUUCAUCUACUAGAUUCUUGGCCAAAUGAUCAACCAAUGUAUGCGCUUUUAUUGCAGUCCUGGUCGCAUAGACAAUGUCAAACUCGGUGAGAAAGAUUUGCCAUUUUGCAAGCCUCCCCAUGGGCAUGGGCUUCUAGAAGAUGUAUUUCAACGGGUUCAGGUGUCAGAUGAGGUAAGUAGUAUAUGAUGACAGGUAGUGUUUCAACUUCUGGGUUACCCAAGUUAGGGCACAACAUGUCCUUUUGAGAUGGGUAUACUUAACCUCAUACGCUGUAAAUUUCUUGCUAAGGUAAUAUAUGGCCUGUUCUUUCCUCCUGGUGACAUCGUGAUGACCCAGCAAACAUCUGAAUGAAUUUUCCAAGACUAUCAAAUAUAGGAUCAAGGGCCUUCCUGGUUCCGGUGGGACCAAUAUCGAUGGGUUUGACAAAAAUUCUUUUAUUUUAUCAAAAGCCUCCUGGCACUCCUUCGUCCAUCUAACCAUAGUAUCCCUUUUCAAUAGCUUAAAGAUGGGCUCUCAGGUUGUCGUGAGCUGAGCAACGAAUCGAGUGAUGUAAUUCAAUCUCCCCAACAAAAUCAUCACCUCUGUUUUUUUCCUAGGAGGCGGCAAUUCUUGUAUGGCUUUGAUCUUUGACGGAUCUAGUUCAAUGCCUCGAUGGCUGACUAUGAAUCCUAGCAACUUCCCAGAGGGGACCCCAAAUCCGCAUUUCAUAGGAUUGAGUUUGAGAUUAUACAUGCGGAGCCUCUAGAAGAAUUUCCUCAGAUCUCUGACAUGGUCGGAUUGCUUCCUGGAUUUUACAAUUACAUCAUCCACAUAGACCUCAAUCUCCGUAUGUAUCAUAGCAUGGAAUAUGGUUAUCAUCGCCCUCAUAUAGGUUGCCCCAGCAUUCUUCAGGUCGAAAGGUGUCACACCUCCUUUUAGACACUACAACCCCGGGGAAGGGCGUAGAUAAAGGGAGGUUUUCCAAUUAAAGGACGAUUGAUUUAUUUAAGAGAUUUCAGAGUCGCCACUUGGUAGAUCUAUGGUGUCCCAAGUCACCAAUUUAAAUCCUGAAUCGAGGAAGAUUUGACUCAGUUAACAGUCAACGAACCAGAAAUCCGGGUAAGGAAUUCUGUUAAACCGGGAGAAGGUGUUAGGCAUUCCCGAGUUCCAUGGUUCUAGCACGGUCACUCAACUAUUAUAUUCAACUUAAUUUAUCUAAUUUUAAAACAUGUCUUAACUUAUGCGCUUUUUAAUCUUAAACUGCUUUCGUUAUUAUUUUUAAAGAAAAUUGCAAUGUCAUUAAAACAUGUCCAGAACCACAUAACAUAAAUGCAUCCGUGGAUUUCGAAACAUUUCAACUUCAUGAGAUUUGGAUUUGGGUCACAUAAAUACGCACCCAAAUUUAGAAAGAUACAUUAUUUAACAAACGCGCUUAAAGAAAUUUCGCAUUUGAUUCUACGAGGGCCACGGAAAUUCGCUAAGUGGUGCACUUCGAGUUCUAAGGAUUAAAACAAUAGUUCAAAGAUGGUCGCGCAUUUGAAAUUUAUUUGGCAUGGCACAUCCUAAUUACUAACAGAAAAUUCGAACUAAGCUUUUAGGAUCUUUAACUACUCUUCACAAUUGAUCUUGUUGCUACUUAAAAUUACAACAUAUUAUUAACACCUAAUCAAUACAUUCCAAACGUACUCACGAAUUACUGCAACCAGGGUCAAAUAGGUGAACAACACCUAAAUAUAAACUAUCCAAAGUUUUAUCCAUGAAUUCGAGUGAGACAAGAAAGGUAAACGUCUUGGCUAAUUGUGCUUAACGAAACACUCUCAGGCAAUAAACACAUAUCCUGACAAAUCAACUAGUUUUAAAAGGUUCUACGACUUCAACUCAUCAUUUACUACAGUAAAGAAAAAUAGAAGAAAAAUAGAGAUGAACCGUUACAGUGAUAAUACAAAAGAAGACUGAACUCUUUCUUGGCUUUCGAUUUCAAUAAACGUAGACCAAGUUGGCUAGUGCAAAGUUAAACCAAAUCAAGGAGAGGUUAUUGAUAGGGAACACUAUAUACAAAAACUUGUUCUAUCAACCCUUCUAAGGCGAGUGAUGCUGGCCAAAUGAGUAAAAGUGCACAAAAUAACAAAUCUAGUGUUUCCAUGACUGUUCCAAUUACUAUCCAUUUACAUCCACAUGCAUGCGACUAACAUCAAUAUAGAAAUACAUCACUAAUUAUCUACAAUAAUCUAUGAGAUUUGAAGAUCAUCAUUCUAGCACUGGCUGUGACAGAUCUGGCAUUCAAUCACACAACAAAAUCAUCUCAAAUUGAGUAAUACAUGUAUCACUAAAGGAAAAUAAAAGAUAACAAAAAGAAAACUGGAGGACAGUAGCUCAGAUUGCUCAAUUCUCACUUGAACUCCAUAUUACAUGAAUCCAAGGUAGCAUACCUGGAUAAAAAAACAAAGGAAAAGUGAGGAACAAUAGAAGUUACAGCAGUAGAUCAACUCAAGUUCAAGAGCUUGAAUUCUCAAAGUAUGAAAACACUGGAAUAAUGGUUAUAAAACAGCUUGGUCCAGAAUUCUCUGAAAAAAAUCCACCUCCAUACCCCUCAAAAAUCAGAAGAUUUGCUCUGGCCACGCAAAGGGGCCUCAAAGUCCAGGUUUUAAGCAAUAAAAUAGUGGGUUUUUUGAUAUUUAUCCGCCUAAGAUUUUUUUUGUCUUUGGAAUUUUUUUUCCGUCCCCCUUUCUAAGGCAAGGCUUUAGGGCAUCCUUCAAAUUUUUAUAUCAACCGAGUCCUUAUUUUUUUAACUUGUGGACAAAGAUUUUUAGCUUAGAAUUGACUAACAGCCCCUACUAGAUAUUUCUAUUUCUGUUAUGUAAAGAUUCCCUAAGUUGAAUUCCCUAAACUAACCCUUAAGAUCCCUGUAUUACUGAAAAACUUCCUAAAUUAAACCGAACCUACAUUGCGCUUGAAUUAAACCAUAACAUUUCAGCUAACCUUAUUUAGGCUUCAAAAUUAGAAUUAUCUACGGAAUCAAAUAGUAUUGAUUUCAUUUUCAAACAAACCCAAUGAUUAGAACAGAAUCAACAUGAGGAGAAGAGAAAAAUCUACAGCACUGACAGACAGGAAUAGAACAUGUGGAUAUACUAGUCAAGUUAUCUAACUAAAAUAAAUAAGAAACGAGGAUUGAAGAUUUAUGCCUUAAAUAAUGGAGGAAAAACAAGAAGACUCAUCAGGCACAAAAACAAAAAACCAGAACAAAUUCAAAACAAGGCAGACAUUAAUCAAAACCCUAAAAUUCUAAGCUAUCUAAUCAUGCAGGCACAUAGUAAAGGAGGAAAAGAAAAAGAAAACUUACCGCUGAAAGGUUGAACCAAAUAGGACUCCGAUUUGAGGUCCGAAAUGAUGUGAACAUUUGUUAUUCGUCAAGAACAAACAAGUACAUUAUCUCGUGCCUCGAAUCGAUCUCUAGGCCAAGGAAUUUGGGAAAAAUGGAGCUAGUUAAGAUUCUGCUAUUUCUAUGAUUUGAAAUUCGAGAAACUCCGAGGAUGUUUGAAGGAAACUAAGUAGGGAUUUGGACUGAGGGAAAGACGGGGGUUAUGGGGUGUUAUUUUGAAGGUGGUUUGGAGGCGGCGGCGUCGUAGGCGACAGGGCGGCCGUGAUUUCAAAUCAAUAUUCGACAAGCUUGAAGGGGAUUCGAGGGAAUCUGAUGUUAGAUUCGUGAUGAGGAUAAAAAAGGGUGCUACGGUGUAAUUUUGGGGUUGUUUGAGGCAUCGCCGCCGGCGGAGGCGAUUUUCGGCGGUGGCAGACCACGAAGAGUGGUGGUGUUAGGGUUUUGUCAUUUGGACAAGGUACGAGGUUGGGUUGAGGUGGGGGUUUUGGAACAUUUAUAUACUCAUUACACCCCAGUUGUGCCACCAUUGAAUUAAAAGUUACGGGCGGCUGUGAUUAAAACGUUCAAACGACAUUGUUUUAAUUCAAACGGGAUAGACUGGAUAUUGGGGUUGGUUUGUAUCGGUUCUAUGUGGGUCUUUUGUGUAUUGGGCUGUUUCAAAUAAAAAAUGGCCCAAUUUAUUAUUUACAACUUCUUUUGUUUUGAUUUUCCAGGUUUUCUAUUCCUCUUUUUUUUUUCAUUUUCGAAAAUUACUAAAUGAAUCAAUAAUCCUAAACUUAUAUGCUAAUUGUCCUCUAUAAUUAUUAUCACAACUAAUUAAAACAAACGCAAAAUUACCUAAAAAUCAAAAUUAAAAUUAAAAGAGCAAAUUAAGCUAUAUUUUUUCCCCUUUUUUAUAAAAUGAUUAAAAUAGUGAAAAAAGAUGUGAAAUUAACUUCCACAAUACACGUUCCACAUAUUUUAUAUUUCCCAUUAAUUAAUAUAAAAAUAAGUAUGCACAAACGAAUGCAAACCAUUAACAGAAAAUGCAACGAAAAAUCAAUAAUUGCAAAUGAACAAGAAUUUUUUUUGUUUGAAUUUAUGGGAAUGAUUCAUGUAAGGAAAAAAUCACAUGCUCACAACUACCCCUCUUUUCCCGAAAACACGAAGCGCUUUCGUGCAAAGACAAGUGAGCAUACAUGAGUGAUCUUUUCCCAUUUAAAUAUUCCGUGAGAAGCAUUUCGAAAAGCUUGACCGCACCCUGCUUUUGAGGUUGCCUACAUAUCCCCAGCUAAAGAGGAAUCAGGUUAGUGUAGUUCAGGAUUAUUUGGUAGCAGGGAUACCAAAUUACGACCUCACUGUAGUUGCUGCUACUGCUACUGCUGCUAGACCUCCUUAUUACACCUUGUAAAAAUAAAGAGAAGCUAGACUAAGCUAUGAACUACGAGUUACAAAAGAACCUAUCUACGUCUUUAAUCUCGAUCUUGAACCUUGUUUCUUUGUUGCCUUGUAUUUCUUCCUGUAAACUCCUUGUUGCCUUGUGGACUUCUUGUUUUCUCUUUUUCUAUGUUUGAUGAGAUGUAUUCCCUCGUUUUUUAUGUGGGCGCCUGAUUACCAUAACCUAUAACUUUAAUAGUAUUCCCUUGUUCUAUAGGUGGGCGCCUUAUUACCAAAACUUGCAACUUGAAAAAUAUUCCCUUGUUCUACAAGUAGGCAUCUGAUUACCAAAACUUGUAACUUGAAAAAUAUUCCCUUGUUCUACAUGUGAAAAUGCCUGCUUACCAAAACAUGUAACUUGGAAACUAUUCCUUGUUCUACAGGUGGGCGCCUUACUACCAAAACUUGUAACUUGAAAGGUAUUCCCUUGUUCUACAGGUGGGAGCCUGGUUACCAGAAUUUGCAAUUUGAAAAAUAUUCCCUUGUUCUCCAGGUGGACGUCUGAUUACUGAAACUUGCAAUUUGAAAAAUAUUCCCUUGUUCUCCAGGUGGGCGCUUGAUUACCAAAACUUGCUAUUUGAAAAACAUUCCCUUGUUCUCCGAGUGGACGCCUGAUUACCCAAACUUGCAAUUUCAAAAAUAUUCCCUUGUUCUCAGGGUGUGCGUCUAAUUACCAAAAAAUAUAACUUAAAAAGUAUUCCCUUGUUUUACAGGUCAGUGCCUGAUUACCGGAACUUGCAAUUUGAAAAAUAUUCCAUUGUUUUCCAGGUGGGCGCCUGAUUAUCGAAACUUGCAAUUUAAAAAAUAUUCCCUUGUUCUCCAGGUGGACGCCUGAUUACCAAAACUUGCUAUUUUAAAAAUAUUCCCUUGUUCUCCAGGUGGGCACUGAUUACCGAAACUUGAAAUUUGAAAAGCAUUCCCAUGUUCUCCAGGUGGGCUCCUGAUUACCAAAACUUGCGAUUAGAAAAGUAUUCCCUUGUUCUCCAGAUGGGCGCCCAAACUUGCAAUUUGAAAAAUAUUCCAUUGUUCUCUUGGUGGACGCCUGAUUACUGAAACUUGCAAUUAGAAAAAUAUUCCCUUGUUCUCCAGGUGGAUGCCUGAUUACCGAAACUUGCAAUUUGAAAAAUAUUCCCUUAUUCUUCAGGUGGGCGCCUGAUUACCAAAACAUACGAUUUGAAAAGUAUUCCCUUGUUCUCUAGGUGGGAGCCUGAUUACCCAAACUUGCAAUUUGAAAAAUAUUUCCUUAUUCUCCAGGUGGGCGCCUGAGUACAAAAACUUGUAACUUGAAGAGUAUUCAUUUGUUCUACAGGUGGACGCCUGAUUACCGAAACUUGCAAUUUGAAAAAUAGUCUCUUGUUCUCCAAGUGGGCGCCUAAUUACUGAAACUUGCAAUUUGAAAAAUAUUGCCUGAGGAUGCUGCUUGGGCACCUGAUAACAAAAAAACAAGCAAAACAAAAGAAAUUUUUCUGCCCCAGUUUUGUUUCCGGGUGCAUCUGUAAUUUUUAAUCAAAUCCAAUGGCAACUUUAGAAUUAGGCUGAGUUCUCAAAAGGUAUUAUUUUUCACUAUGUUUUGAUAUGAGUUAUAUCUGCUGGGGAUCUGCUGGUGACCGGUGAGUAAAACUACCUGCCAUUAUCCAAGCGGGUCCUGACAACUCUUAAGUGGAUGACAAAAUGUUUGUGAUUGGGAUUAGUAUUAGUGAUACAUCCCAUUAUCACGGGGGGUCCUGACAACUCCUACGAUUAAAUCCCAUUGUCCAAGCGGGUCCUGAUGACUCUUGUUAGGGCAAUAUUUGUGCCCGCCUAUGAUACCCAUGCUUGCUUGUGUCUUAGGCUAAGUCCCAUUUUUCAGGAGGGUUCUGACAACUCUUAGCUGAAUCUUACUUCAACAUGCAAGUGAUUUUAUGCCCUUUGUUAUCCAUGAUUACCUCUUACCUUUGAAUAAGUCCCAUUUUCCAUGAGGGUCCUGAGGGUUUCAGAUUAAAUGCCAAUUUUAGCUUCCUGUUGUUUUUGCCGGGGUCCAUUUUUCAAACGAGUUCCAUCGACUCUUGUGGGAACGUGUUUGUGACUACCCACGCCUAUGCCUGUUUGAGUUUUAAACUGAGUCCCAUUUCAACUUCCAUGCCCCUUUAAACCCUCGGUUGUUUCUGCUGGGGUUUGCUACUUAAAGUUUUGUCCCAUUGUACUCUUGUUGUGGAGAAUGUUUAUGAUAGAUUAUGUUCCUUUUGAGUUUUAACUGGGUCCCAUUUUCAGAUGGGCCAUGAGGUUUUUAUCAUACCUGCCACGUGCUUGUCCUCCCAUGUGGGUGGCUUCACAUAGGAUCUUCUGAAAUUUUUCUACCCCUGUGUCGAUCAAAGAAAACUUGUCAGUUUGAAAAGUGGUGCUUAGCUUGCGGCAUUCUUGUUGGAAGCGGCCUCCCCACUGUCGCGUUCUGUUAUGUUCAAGUUUUCCCUGCCAAUGAUGAUUUGCCUGCGUUGGUUGGCUGAACCCGAACCUUUAUGUUCUUGAGAUUACUAGGUCAAUGUACUAUGCUCGGUUGACCUUAUUACACUUAUGGCUUUACUAUGCUCCCCAUCUUUAUGUUGUGCUCCUUCACUUAACCAAACUCUUUCCUCUCGAGUCAAUUUUAUCAUUGAAGCUCUAGUGAAUCCCUCCCCUUGUUGUUUCAAACUUUUGCUGCCUUUGUUACAUUUUUGGGUUUCAUGCGCUUCGUCCCUGUUGGAGCUGGUAAUAAGCUUUGACAUUUUUCUCCCAUUUGCUAAAACAAAAGACUUUAGAGUCUUGGAAGAAAAUGAAGUGCAAUGACUCAGAAAUGUUUUAGGGUAAAGAAUUCUGCAUUUAAUGACUGUUGAAGGGAAGAGAAAAGAAACAUAUCUGAGGAAAAGCAACUGGUUUUUCAUGAUCAUGACAUGCACUUCGGCCUAGUCAACUCAGUCUGUCCCGAUAACCAGCCUUCGGUAGCCAUGCUUUUGUUGUUGCAACAAUUUUAACCUAAUUCCUCUAGCCAAAACCUAACGUUUCUUGACUUACGGUGUUCUAAACAGAUUUCUACCAACAGCCCUCUCCCAAUUGUUCAUUCCUCGCCUUGCCUUCGCCUUAUGGUGCCCCUGAGGGUUUUUACCAACAAGGCUCUCUCAUUUUUAUUUCUCUCAACUCUCGUCGCCUUACGGUGCCCGUGAACGUUUUCACCAAUAAGAAUCUCUCAUUUUUAUUUUUUCUGCUUGAACUAGAGUGUUGUCCCAGGGUAUAGUCCAUCUCUCCUUGCUUGCCUCGGCAUUUCUUAAAAUACUGAUCAGAAGGUCUUUCUUUGGACCGUAAUGUAAGCUUUUGGAUAAGGUUAGAAAGAAAAGGGUAUAAAAGGCUCAAUUAUCACUCUUAUGGGUUCAAAAUUUACAACUUUCGGAAUCCAAUUUAUUGUAAAGAACGCAAUUUCUGCCCAAGUUUCUUUCUAGGGGCCUUUGGACUUUAUUGAAUAUGACCGAGCCGCGAGGCUGCCUACGUAUCCUUAAAAGGAAUCAGGUCAAACAUAGUUCCUAUCGAUUCCUUGCUUUGCCUUCAUUCUGUUGUUGUUUGUCUAUUUUCUUCCUCUUUUCAUUCUAUUUUCUUUCUCUUUUUUCUAUUCUUUUCUUUUUUUUCUUUUCUUUUUCUUUUUUUCUUUCUUUUUCUUUUAUUUCCUUUUCUUUUCUUUCUUUGUUUUGUUUUCUUUUUCUUCUUUUCUCUUCUUUCUUUGUUUUUCAUUUGCUCCUUUCCUUUCACUGCUUUCUUAUAAUCGCGUCUCUGACUUUUAUUACUGAUUCCGAAAGAGGGAUAUGAAAAGAAAAUAGUUGAAACUCAAAAGGAUUAGAAAUAGGUAAAGUGUUUAGAUAGUAUGCAUUCGUCAUUUCAAUCUCUAAAACAUGCCAAGUACAAACAAACAUUCCAAAUAUAGACAAUGAUUCACACAAAAUAAAUUCAUACAUAGUAUCUUUUGACUGCAUCUAAAUUGAUAGCCAUUUCUACUUAUUUUCCUUCUACAUCUGCUAGAUACAACGCCCCAUUGGACAACACUCUUGACACGACAAAUAGUCCUUGACAGUUUGGAGAGAACUUGCCCUUUGUCUCUGCUUGGUGAGGAAGGAUGUGUUUCAACACCAACUAACCCAUUUCAAACUUUGUUUGGACGCACUUUCUUGUUAUAUGCUUUGGCCAUUCGUUGUCGAUACAACUGGCUGUGAAACACAGCUGUCAAUAUUUUCACAUCAAUCAAACUCAAUUGCUCCAGACGAGUUUUAACCCAUUCUUCAUCGUCGAUUCCUGCUUCGGCCACAAUCCGUAAUGAUGGGAUAUCAACUUCAGCCGGGAUUACUGCUUCUGUGCCAUAUACCAAUAAAUAUGGGGUUUCCCCUACCAAAGUGUGGACGGUAGUGCGAUAGCCUAACAGUGCAAAGGGUAACUUCUCAUGCCACUUCCUGGACCCUUCCACCAUUUUGCAAAGUAUCUUCUUUAUAUUUUUAUUGGCUGCCUCGACUGCUCCAUUUGCCUUGGGACGGUAUGGGGUGGAAUUGCAAAUUACAAUGUGUAAUAUUGAACUGCUGACAUACCUCUUUCAUCAAAUGACUGUUGAGAUUUGCCCCAUUAUUAGUGAUGGGGGUCUUGGGGAUUCCAAACCGACAAAUAAUAUUUGUAUGUACAAAGUCGACCACUGCCUUCUAAAAUUUGCUCCUCCUUGGCGGUAUCUCCCUAGCACCAUGUUGUUCUAUUUGUUGUGACAAUGCACUUGACAAUAACUUUCAAAUUUCUUCAUUUGCAGUAGCAUUGCCCCAUUUUACAUUGGAAGAGCAUUUUAACUAUAUAAAAUGGUAAGGUACCUCAUUUUUUACCGACACUCUGCCUUCUAUCUAGGCACUAUUCAGUGAAUAGUAUUUCCGUCACUAUUCAUCGGCUAUAUCGCCGGAAUCCGGUUGUGAAUUGUCACAAUUUUGGUGUCACGACAUCCCCUUCUCGUUGCGAAUAAUCCCCAAUAGAUUUUUUACGCAAAUCAAUAGCCAAUUUCUCGAAAUCUUGAAUCUUUUUUUCCGCUUUUUUUUAGCAUCGACGAAAUUUUCAGAGCUAAUACUUUUCGAUGGAUCCUGGUUGACGUUCAUCAGCACUAUGGAAGCUGCACCCUCUCCCCAGCCUUGUGCUGUGGGAGAGGAUAAUCAAAACCAUUCGUAAAAUCAUACAGUUCAACAUUCAAAACAAACUUAUGCAUCGCAACUUGUUCGACAACAUUCUGCCGCAACAAACUCAAAUUUAGAACUCUGUCCUGUUACGUUUGAGAAUGGAAUUCCUACUGUUGAAUUCACAGUAGAGGAAGUGAAUUCCUUCACCAAGGAGGAGGGUCUUCAACAACAACUCUGUCCUGUUACGUUUGAGCAUGGAAUUCUUACUGUUGAAUUCAUAGUAGAUGAAGUGAAUUCAUUCACCAAGGAGGAAGGUCUUCAACAAGCAAUUGUGAUUAAAUUAUCGUAUGGAAAACCCGAGCUUCAGAAGCUGAGACAGAUUUUACCAAAGCAACUCGAUGUCAAAGGUAAUUGCAAUAUAGGACAGCUAGAAUAUCGGAACAUUCUGGUUAGAUUUGAUCUAUUUGAAGAUUUUGAUAAUGUCUUUUCAAGAACAACUGGUUAUAUUAAGGCAAAAGGAGACGAGUUCUUCUUUAGGACAUUCCGUAGACAAUGGGAUUUAAUCCACGUGAAGAAACGUCCAAGGCUGUCGUUUGGAUCUCUUUUCCUGAACUGCCAGCAAAUUUCUUCGCAAAAAAAUCCUUAAUGUCAAUCGCCGCUGCAGAAGGAAAGCCUCUAGCAGUAGAUAGGCUACUAAAGAUCGAACGAGACCUAGUACGGCACGAGUAAAAGUCUUGCUUAAUUUACUAGACAAACUUCCUAAGAAAAUAAAGAUCAAGAUUGUUGAUUUCAAAUCUGGAAAAAUAGUCGAAUACGACCAGAGGAUCAUCUUUGAUAACCUUCCAAAAUACUGCACGUAUUGCAAUCAUCAAGGUCAUGAUGUAAAAUCGUGCCAGUGGAAUACAGAUGAAUUGAAUGAACAAGCAUUUCAUGAUCGACAAUCAGAAGGACGGGACAGAUUGACUAAAUUAGGAGGGGAUGCCAGAGAGUACCUAAAUGCUAAUCUUGUAGCACGAAGCAGUGAAGGGGUUCGUCCCAAUGUGACUGUUAAUGCAGAACAAAAUAUUGCUUCUCUUUAAAUUGUUCCAGCUGAAGAACCUGAUAUUGCACAGAUGUGUCAAAAUCCAUCCACUCUUCCAGCUCACAGUGAACAGGUUCCUAAUAUGACUGCUGACCCAAGUCAAAAUAUCAUUUCUGGUCCAAUUGUUCCAGUUGCAGAAGUUCACUCAACAUCUAAUGCUGCUGCUAAGCCAAGUAAAAAUAUUGUUUCUGGUCCAAUUGUUCCAGCUGCAGAAGCUCACUCAACAUCUAAUGUUGAUAUUGCUCAGUUGUGUAAAAAUCCUUCUACUGUUACAUCCAAUUUGAAUGUUACCAGUGAACAGGUGGUGUCAAAUUUCGCUGGGGUUCUUCCUAAGGUCAAUGCUAAUGAAGGACAAAAUAUUGUUUCAGUUCCAAUUUCUCAAGCUGUAGAAGCCCAAUCAAUGCUGAAUGCAGAUACAACAGAGCUGUAUGAAAAUUCAUCGACUUGCUGGGGUUCUUCCUAAGGUCAAUGAUGAUGAAGGACAAAAUAUUGUUUCAGUUCCAAUUUCUCCAGAUGCAGAAGCCCAGUCAAUGCUGAAUGCAGAUACAGCACAGCUGUAUGAAAAUCCAUAUACUGUUUCAACCAAUUUGAAUAUGCACAGGCAACAGGUGGUGUCAAAAUUAGCUGGGGUUCUUCCUAAUGAGACUGCUGAUGCACCACAAAUUUCUGGUCCAAGUACUCCAGCUGUAGAAGCUCAACCAACAACGAAUGCUGAUCUUACACAGCUGUGUAAAAGGUUUUCUACUGUUACAUCCACUUUGAAUGUUCCAACUUGACAGUAGUGUCAAACUUGACUGGGGUUCUUCCUAGUGUGUCUGAUGAUGCAGGACAAAAUAUUGUUUCAGUACCAAUUGUUCCAACUGCAGAAUCUACUGUUACAUCCAGUUUGAAGGUUCCUAGUCAACAGUUGGUGCCAAAUUUGGUUGUUGCAUCUGCUGAGGCUGCACAUCACAAUGCAAACGGGAUUAAACACUUGCUGUGUGAGCAGCAACUUUUGUUACACAAACAUCCAGUUUGAAGAUUUCUAGUCAACAGCUGGUGCCAAAUUUGGUUGUUGCAUCUGCUGAGGCUGCACAUCACAAUACAAACAGGAGUGAACACUUGCUGUGUGAGUAGCAACUUUUGUUACACAAUAAUAACAGUAGCAAACAUACAAUGUUUUGUCAAGGAAGUGAUGCCAAAUUGGAGGUCCAGGAUCCUACCAGAGCUGUUACAAAUCAUAUUGUUUCCCCAGUUCAACUAGGGAGAACUGCAGAGGGCCAAAACUGCUGGAUGCUUCAAAAAUCUCUGCAGGAUCAGUUUUGAGCAUAACUAAGCAUGGCAGGGUCCAACAUCUUUCAGGUACAGCUGCUGAUGCUGUCUAUAAUACUGCCUUAGCUCAAGCAACCUCUGCUUUAGAAUCUACUGAUAAUCGACAACACAAAAGGGAAGAUGGACAAUGGUCAUCGAUGGAAAACAAAGCAGUAGCACCAAAAUCCAAAAAUAAAAUUCAGAUCGCAGAAAACAAUUCAACUUUACCUUCAAUUUCAAACUCAUUUGACGUUCUUGCCAAUGUCAAUGAUGAUGAAGGAAAAUUCUUGGGCGAAAAUUUGCAGAUUUGUGACAGCCAAAAUAGCUCAUAGAAUACAGAUGCAAAAGAAUACAUCUCACGUUACUGGUACAAAUAUUCAAAUACAGUCCAAACUUCAAAGCUCUCCAACCACAUCCACUCCUCCUAUGAACAACAUUGUUAAAGAUUAUGGGGAACCUUCAACUUCAGUUAUCAAAAAAGGUUUUCAACCAAAGAGGAGGGACUUGGUCAUUAAAUCGAAACUGUGGAAAGACCAACGGGAUCAUGAUGAUGAGGAGAGCUGGGGGGAAGGACUCGCUGGUUUUUCAUGGGAAGAAGAAGAUCAAGAAUCUGAUCAGGAUAGUACUAUUGACGACAAUGAUGAUUCAGUCAAGCAAAAUGUUCAAGGGAAAACUGCAACUAAGAAUAGUCGUGCAAUUUUGCGACACACAGCAACACCAAACAGUAGCUUAAACCACAAUGCUCCAGUUUUUGUUCCAAGAAAUAAUGCAAAAGCAGUUAUUUCAAGUGUAGCGACAUCAAAAUUCAACCAGAAUGAAACAUCACAUAAUCGUCACUAAGCUCAACCAAAGCAUCAGUUGGAGAUCGAAGCGCAAAUGUGUUGCCACCAACUAGCCAGAAUCAGGAUACAACAACAGAACCACUCUCUAAUUUAGAGGACUGGAAAUUUUCUGAUGCCAUAACGCAAACUCUGCUUUCAAACCAGAAUCAACAAAGGAAUACAGAAGCACGUUCACAGGAGGGACAGCUCGUCCCAACUGUUUCGGUAAUAUCGUCCGAUGAAAGACAAUAUUUUGGACGCGAUGGAAGACAUAGAUAUGAAGAAGAGGAUAUCCUAAAGCAAUGCCAAGCAGACAUUUAAAAAAAUGGAGAUUUGUCACCAUUGCAUAGCGCAAGAAAUAAGAAGUCUCGUCAAAGGGAAAGAAGUUGGGACGGCAGGAUGUUAAAAGACGUAAACAUAAGGAGGCCCCCAAUGCGAAAUGCAAAACAAAAACAGAACGCUCAAACAAUACUUUCAAAAAUCCAAUCGCCCGAAGAACAAAACAUGAAUUUUGUGUAAACAUAUCGAGGCCCCCAAUGCGAAAUGCAAAACAAAACAGGUCGCUCAAACAAUACUUUCAAAAUCCAAUCUCCCGAAGAACAAAACAUGAAUUUUGAAGUCCUUUUUAAAAUUUGUGUGGAAGAAGACAACAUAUUACAAAUCAAAAUUUUCACAACGAAAGGAAAAGAGGGCAACUUUAUGGUUUCUUCAUCUGUUUAUUUUACCAUCACAUUAGUAUUAUUCUAUGUAAUAUCUUCACAAAGCAUGUUAUAAACUCUAUGAUGAUCAUUCAAUUCUUACUUCUUGCGAGCUCUUUCUUUUUACAUGCUUGCUAAUCCAGAAGGCUUUAUUUGCAUCAAUACGAUAGCUAAGGUAAGGUUUAUGCCAGCUGUGUUAUAUGGGUAACAUUACCGGUGUAAUCCGCCUUAUUUUAUUUCUCCUAUUUGUUGUAAUUUUUCUUUUCCUAUUAUUUAUGAAAAUUAACCCUAGGCGAUUUCCUAGUGGACCCAAAACAAAAAAAAAAGACCACUGCCUUCUUAGUCACUAUCUUGAAGGUUUUAGCUUCAACCCAUUUGGUGAAGUAGUCAAUAGCAACCAGGAUGAACCUGUGUCCGUUAGAGGCUGCUGGCUUGAUAGGCCCAAUGACGUCCAUGCCCCAAGCAACGAAAGGUCAUGGUGUAGACAUCGUAUGCAAUUCAGACGAUGGGGAGUUAAUCAAGUCUCCAUGCACCUGACAUUGAUGGCAUUUGCGCACAAAACUGAUACAAUCCCGUUCCAUGGUGAGCCAAUAAUAUCCUGCCCGGAGAAUCUUUUUUUGCCAAAACAUAUUCGCUCAUGUGCGGCCCGCAGACUCCUGCAUGCACCUCAUUCAUUAUGGUUGUAGCCUGCCCAGCAUCUACGCAUCUUAGCAAUCCAAGAUUCGAUGUUGUUUUGUAUAAUAUCCCUCUGCUGAAGAAGAACCCACUUGACAAGCGAGAGAUUGUUCUCUUCUGGUCACUUGUGGAUUGUUCUGGGUACACACCUAUCCUGAUAUACUCUUUGAUGUCGUGGAACCAAGGCUCACCAUCAUGCUCUUCUUCCACCAUGGUUCAAUAAGCAUGUUGAUCAUGAACCUGGAUAUGUAUUGGGUCAACAUAAGUCUUAUCCGGAUGAUGUAAGAUUGACGCCAAGGUGGCCAAAGCAUCAGCAACCUCAUUAUGGAUUUUGGGGAUGUGCCUGAAUUCUAUUGACCGGAAUCGAUCACAAAGAUCAUACAGGCAUUGCCCGUAUGAUAUGAGAUUUAAAUCUCUUAUUUCCCACUCCCCUUGAAUUUGGUGUACCAAAAGGUCCGAGUCUCCCAAGACCAAGACUUCUUGGGCACCUAUGUCUGCUGCCAACCUCAUAACCAAAAUACAUUCCUCAUAUUCUGCCAUAUUGUUGGUGCAAUAGAAGCUGAGUUGAGCUGCGACUGGACAAUGACGCCCUUCUUCAGAAAUGAGCACUGGUCCUAUCCUGACGCCUUUCAUGUUAGCAGCCCCAUCGAAAAACAAUUUCCAUCCCGAUUCCUCACCCCAUUCCAUUUCAUAAAUAUGCAUUACUUCCUCAUCCGGGAAGUAUGUUUUUAAUGGUUCAUAUUCUUCGUCUAUCGGAUUGUCGGCUAAAUGAUCAGCCAAUGCAUGUGCUUUCAUUGCAGUCCUAGUCACAUAGACAAUGUCAUAUUUACUUCAUCGAAUAGUUUUUCUAAUCCCUUAUCUAAAUCCCCAUCCACAUCAAUCAGCGGACCGGGAAUCUCUGGCACUGGGCACUUGCUAGUACUGAGCUUGACAAACGAUUUGGACAACCUUGGGAUGGGCUUUGGGAGGGCCUAAACAUUUGCCAUUUCGCGAGCCUCCCUGUGGGCAUGGGCUUCUGGAAAAUGUACUUCAACAGGUCCAGACGUGAGAUCAGAUAAGUGGUAUAUGAUGACAAGUAAUGUUUUAACUUCUGGGCUACCCAUGUCAGGGCACACCUUUCAAGAUGAGUAUACAUAACCUCAUAGGCUGUAAGUUCCUUUCGGAGGUAGUAUAUGGCUUGUUCUUUCCUCCCAGUGACGUCGUGCUGGCCCAACAUGCAUCCAAAUAAGUUGUCCAAGACUUUCAAAUAUAAGAUCAAGGGCCUUCCUGGUUCCGGCGGGACCAACACCGGUGGGUUCGACAAAUAUUCCUUUAUUUUAUCAAAAGCCUCCUGGCACUCUCACGACCAUUUAACCACAAAAUCCUUUUUCAACAACUUAAAGAUGGGCUCAGAGGUUGUCGUGAAUUGCGCAAUGCAUCGACUGAUGUAAUCUUUAUCUUAUCAAAAGCCUCCUGGCACUCACCCAUCCAUUUCACCGCAGCAUCAUUUUUCAAUAGCUUAAAGAUGGGCUCACAGAUGAUUGUGAGCUGAGCAAUGAAUCGACUGAUGUAAUUCAAUAUCCCCAAUAGAAUCAUCACCUCUGUUUUGUUCCUCGGUGGCGGUAGUUCCUGUAUAGCUUUGAUCUUAGAUGGAUCUAGUUCAAUGCCUCGUCGGCUGACUAUGAACCCUAGCAACUUCCCUGAGGGGACCCCAAAUGCGCAUUUGCCGGGUUGAGAUUGAGAUCAACUUCCCUGCAGAGACUCUAGAAGAAUUUCCUCAGAUUUUUGACAUGAUCAGAUUGCUUACUGGACUUCACAAUUACAUCAUCCAUAUAGACCUCAAUUUCAUUUUGUAUCAUAUAGAAGAUGUUUGUCAUUGCCCUCAUAUAUGUUGCUCCAGUGUUUUUCAAACCAAAAGGCAUGACCAUAUAGAAAUAUGUCCUCCAUGGCGUGAUGAAUGUUGUUUUCUCCGCAUCUUCUUCAUCCAUUAAGAUUUGGUGGUAACCUACGUAGCAAUCCACGAAUGGCCCGAUCUCGUGCUUAGCACAAUUGUCAAUCAAUAUAUGAAUGUUCGACAGUGAAAAGUUGUCUUUUGGACUUUCUUUGUUAAGGUCCCGAUAAUCGACACACACCCUAGUUUUACCAUCCUUCUUUGGCACGGGCACAACAUUGGCUAACCAGGUGGGAUAUUGUAUGACCUGGAUAACUUUUGCCUCAAACUGCUUAGUCACUUCCUCUUUGAUUUUCACGCUUACGUCAGUUUUAAACUUUCUCAACUUUUGUUUGAGGGGAGGAAAGGCUGGGUCAGUGGGAAAUUUGUGAAUCACCAAGUCAGUGCUCAAUCCGGGCAUAUCAUCGUAAAACCAUGCAAAGACAUCUUCGUAUUCAAGCAGUACUUCAAAUAUUUCUUUCCUAAGUUGUAUCCAGAUGGACACUUAUUUUGGUUUCUCAAACAUUACCCGGGCUCCCUAAAUUCACUGUCUCUGUGUCGUUCAUGUUUGGUUUUGGUUUCUCCUCAAAUUGGCACAACUUUUUACUAAUUUUAUCCCAUGCUCCCUCCUCGUCGUACUCUGGUUCAUCCUCAUGUUCUAUUUCUUGAAUUACUAUUUCUGAACUAGAUCGAUUUUUAAGACUUGGCCGAAGAGUCCUUAUGUAUGUCAGAUCAUUAGAACAAACAUAUAAAUAACUGUACAAGCCUCGACCAUAUUUACCUCAUUGAACAUGCUUUCUAAUCCCUUAUCCAAAUCCCCAUCCGCAUCAAUCAGCGGACCGAGAAUCCUUGGCAUUGGGCACUUCCCAGUACUAGGCUUGACAAAUGAUCUGGACAACCUUGGGAUAGGAUCUGGGAGGGCACAGGCCCUCUGCUUUAACUUUCUAGCUCGCCUUAUGUUCGCAGCUGUAGGCCUGAACCCUAGACCAAAAGUGUCCAGAUUUUGGGGAGCGACACUGGUUGCACGAUGCCUUGCAGCGAAGCACCCAAUCCUUUGCCGGGCAUGAAACAAUUCUUUAACAUUUCUGAAGCUACCAUGACUGAUGCAUUUGCUAUCUUUGGAGUUGUGACAACCUCACCUUCCUGGACCUUCUCCACUGAUACCAUGUCGAAUACUUGGUAGACCCAUGGACCUUUGCUGUCUUCAAAUUUAAUAAAAGGUACGAUAGCAUCACCUGAAACACACUGAUUAUCUUCACCGUGUACCAUAAUCUCUUGUCUUUCUCAUUCAAAUUUGACCAUCUGGUGCAAAGUAGAUGGCACUGCCUUGGCUGCAUGAAUCCAGGGCCUUCCCAAUAACAGAUAAUAGGAGACUGAUACAUCCAGCACUUGGAAUUCCAUAAUGAACUCGAUGGGCCUUAUAGUUACUUCUAGCACUAUAUCCCUUACGGUGUCUUUACCUCCGUCAUUAUGUCAUAAGAAACUACCACGUCCAGCACUUAAAAUUCCAUGGUGAACUCAACAGGUCUUAUUGUCAGUUCCAGCACUACUUCCCCUACUAAGUAUUUGCCUUUGCCAUCGAACCCCCGAACACAAAUAUUAUUCUUGUGGACUCUUUCAUUUUCCACCUUCAACUUGAUCAAUGUGGAGAGCGAACAAAUAUUUGCACUGGACUUGUUGUCAACUAGAACCCGGGUGACCACAUAAUCUUCACACUUCACUGUCAAACAAAAGGGCCCUAUUAUGCUCAGUGCCCUCUAUGGGAAGCUCAUUGUCAGAGAAAUUGACCCGAUUUAUCUCGAAUAUAUUGUUUGCAAUCUUCUCCAAAUGAUUCAUUAUUAUCUUGUUAGGGACGUGGGCUUUAUUCAAAAUCUUCAUUAGCGCCUGGAGGUGUUCGUCUGAAUGGAUUAAUAAGGACAAUAAGGAGAUUUGAGCUGGUGUUUUCCUCAAUUGCUCUAUGAUGGAGUAGUCCUGCAUUUUCAUNNNNNNNNNNNNNNNNNNNNNNNNNNNNNNNNNNNNNNNNNNNNNNNNNNNNNNNNNNNNNNNNNNNNNNNNNNNNNNNNNNNNNNAUCAACCCUCGGCGGUGCUCAUCUGAGUGGAUUAGUAAGGAUAACAAAGAGAUCUGGGUCGGUGUUUUCCUCAAUUGUUCUAUGAUGGAGUAGUCCUGCAUUUUCAUUUUCUUCAGGAAUUCAUAUGCCUCUUCUUCUGAUACAGCUUUCUUCACCGAUUCUGGGUUGUCCUUGGGGAUCCUACUUUUCCUUAAUUCCUCAGUGGCGAAGUAUCUCCCUGAUCGAUUCAAACCCCGGGCUCCACGAACUUCCUCCCUAAUUUCCUUCCCUUUGUACAUCACUAUUACUUGUUCAUAUCUCCAAGGAACUGCUUUGUUGUUGACAACUGGCGGUUGGACUACUAGUUUUACAAUGAAAGGAUCUAUUCAAGCACCUUCUACAACUACGACAGGUUCCCUAGAGCUUCCCUAUGUACUAUCACUUUUUCCUUUUCCUGUAUUGGUGAGACCAUUCAUGAUGACCUCCCUUGAACCACAACAAGUUUGCUAUCUAUUCCCUUCAUCUCGAUCACAGACUUCUCAUUACUCAUACUCUCUGUUGGCUAGACUUUACUGGAUUUAAUCAUCAUUGCCGUUUGUGAGGGCUUUUUAGGCUCUCCCCCUUCUCCACUAUCUCAAUCACGUUGGUCUCAUGAUGUGCCGGCAAUGGGAUUUUGUUAAUGUUAGGUGCCUCUUGAGCAUCUACUUCGAUCCGGUGGGAGUCAAUAAGUUCCUGGAUAGCGUUCUUCAAAUACACUUUUCGGUAUCAUGUCCGGGGGCACUAGAAUAGUAUUCACAGCUAACUAGAUCGAUAUGUCCAUCAUAUAAGUCAAAUUUAGGCAUCUUAGAACAUGGAGGCAACUGCAAGAAUGGAAAAAAAAGGUCCUUGAAUGCUACACUCAUCUGGCCACCUAACCCUCGCAUGUCCCUGAACUAUUGUUCUAAACGUUUGACCUUUCUGAGCACCUCUUCUUGCUCUGGAUUUUUUAUUAGAGUUUCAACUCUCGCCGGGAUUUCGAAAUGGGGAGCAUAGGAGUAUGGUUCAUGGGCUUCGUAAGCAGGUUCUGGUAGGUAUUAUUAGUUGUCGUAAGCUUGAAGCAAGGUCUCACUUGAUGAUCUAUGGAGUGUGGGAAAAGGAGGUGCCACAUAAAUAGGAGCAAUUGGUGGAUGGGGCGAGGAGCGGCUUUGGGUAGUGGAGCUAGGGGUAGUUGAGAGGUCGUACCCUGGUGCUGCGAGUAGACAGGAAAACUUAGGGGUAGAUCAGUGGUGGAAUUGUCAUGAGCUUGGGCUAGUGGUGGGAUAAAGGUUGGGUUAGCAGGAUAGGUUGGUGGUAGCUGUCCUCUUGCCCAUGCCUGGUACAUCUCAGCCAUUUGGUGUUUCAGUUUGUGCAUUUCCUCCUUCAUGGCAUUAACGUCCAAUUCCUUUACCUCUUUCGAGGGUAAAUAAUGUUGACAUCGGCUUCCUGAUUGGCCAUGACUUGCUUGCUCUUAGAUCGCGUGUUGCAGGAGUGGGUUGCCAGAAUGCGUGUCUGAUAUGAUACAACAACACCAAAACUUGUUAAUGGUUAGGUUUCGACAUGUAAGCGACCACAUAUGUGGGGAUGAAUGCACCUAAACAAUUAUUAGUUACUACUUGAAUCAGUUGCUAGCGUCAUCCCAGCUUUCCCUUUUCUUUAUUUGCAAUGCCUUUUCUUAGCUUUAUCCUCUUACUCUCUCCUGUUUUUCCAUCUCUCCUAUUUUCCCAUUGUUUGUUUCUUGCUUUCCCCUCUUUUCCUUUGCUUUUCUCUCCUACUCUCCCCCUCUUUGUUUCUUUUAUCUUUUCUCUUUUUUGUUUGGUUACAGUCGAAUCCUAUGUAGAUUGCCUACGUAUCAUGACCCCGUAUGAAUCAGACCAAACGUAGUUCUGGCAGACGAAAGUGAAGAAAUAAUAAAACAUUUUGGAAUUUUCAAUUUUCAUAAUAAAACAAACUUUGGUUAUAAAGCCUCGAAAAACCGAUAGAUUUAAACAAGAAACUAACAGACUUCAAUGAAAGAUGAACUGCAGACUCGAAGAACAACUAAACUACAUAAAAGAAAAUAUAGACUCCAAGACAAACUGACAGACUUUAUUGAAAGGAAAAUACAGUCUCAAGAAAUCACGAAUACAUUAGGGCUUCAAUUGACCGUGAGGCAUCAUUCGGCCUUGCUGCGGGUCGACUAGCUAAAUCCCCCUAGAGAUGAUGGAGAUCAUCCAUUACGCGGUGAACAAAAAGCAUCCCAUGCAAAGAACAUAGAUCUAGGCAUAUCAUCAUAGCUGCUACACUUCAUUGCAAUGUAAUAGGCGAUCCUUCUGAUUCUCUCUCGUAUGACAACCUUCUCUUGCAAUAAGCGCCCAAUCAUCUCAGUUCUUGCUCCCAAAGUUUGUUCGGCUACCUGAUUCUGCUCUUGUAGCUGUUGCAAAUCCAAUUCGAAUUGCGCCAAUGCUGUGUAACAAUGUUCCCUUUCAAUUUUGAACUCUUUUGCCUGUUUGCUCAUUUUGUUUUCUGAGACGAUGACCUUUUCUUUAAUCCUGUAACCUCACCGUCAAACUCUUCUUUUAAUUGCUUAACCAGGCGUGCUUGUUCUGGCGCAUUUUCAGCCAAUUUUUUUCGAGCACUGGCUAGUUCCGUUUAUACUUUGUUCAAAUCAAAAUUGUAGUCAUUCACCUUCUCUCUCAAGCUAUCUAUAAGUUUUAUAUCCUUGGUACUUCAGACGGGGUUUUCCGUUGCUACUUUCAUUUUCUGAAUUUGGGCCCCAAGGGCCUCAUUUUCUUUGACCAGUUUAUUCUUUUCGCUCUCAUCUGCCUGCAAAUCUUUCUCAAAUUGAAAAUUCAUGAAUUGCUUCUCCAAUUUGCCUAUUGUAGCCCUAUACUCGCAUUCUUUAACCAACCAGUCCCACUACUCUUGCGAUGCUUCGACCAAUUCUUUGAAAUAGGGCCUCUUGGCAUGCCUCUCGAACUCAAUCUCUCUCCUGUACCAAGCAAGCUAUCCUGGCAACACUUCUCCUCUACACCGAUCUCGUACACAAGUGUUUGCUAUUAGUUAUUGGCAUUCAUUCUAAAUUUUGCGAACUGUUGCUUCGGGGAACUGACCAUCAGGUCCAAUCUGACUACCCGGAUAUUGAGAUCUUCAUUUCUUGGCACUAUCUGGCAUCUCUCAAGCUGUCUCAAGAUCCGAUGCGGGCAAUAAGGCUAGAUGCUCCAAAGACCCAUCAGAAGGAAGUGAGGCUCCGUUGCUGGCAUGUAUAUGAUCUCGUUCAAAGACAACCAUCCCAGCGUCCACUCUAUUUGACCGGCAGUGAGGGACCGAAAGUAAGAUAUCCAUCCUAUUACUCCUUCAGGCAAACAGAGACCUUUAAUCCUUGUGUAAAAUUUCUCUAUACAAGUUUUCUCUGUUGACUCAUAGCUCAUACACUAGGGACGGUGGCAUAGAUGCUCGGUCAUUCACAUUUGCAACAAUAGAUUGCACCCCUCAAAGAAAUCUUUCCCGGUCCUGCAAGCUAUGAGAGCACGAAAGAUCUCAGCUACUAUCAUAUGUGUGAAUGUGCUCUUGGCUUGGGUGAGUAAAGUGCUGACAACCCCUGCUAUUCGUAUGUCGAUGUUCUUGUCUUUCCUCGGAAACACCAAGAGCUCUAGGAAAGCCACCAUAAAAGCGAAGCAUCUAUGUUCUUCCCAGUUAACACUGUUUCCUUUGCUACAGAUUUUGUUCUCUGGUUUGUUGAACCCCCUAUAUGAACAUACCUGCUAUAUAGGAAUGAAAAGGUACAAAAACCUACUGCCAAGUCGAGGUCGUGUACCACUCUGCUUAUUUUUAGGGAGUCUAGGAAUUUGUGCACAACUACAAUUCUUGGGGCAACCAAACAUGUGUGUCUCAAAGAAAGCUCAGCAUCCCCAAUGUACCCGGUUAUUUCAUCCAAGGUCGGGGUAAGUUCAAAAUUUGAGAAGUGGAACAUAUUGUGCGCCGGGUCCCAGCACGUGACCAAUGCCCUUAUGAUGUCUCCCUAGGGUAUAAUCUCCAACAGUCCGGGAAGGCCCCCCAAAUAUUUCUUGACCUCUUCUUGCCCUUUUCUACCUAAAUCAUUCCACCACAGCCACAACUCCAAAGGGAUUCUGCUUAUGAAUGAGAAAGGUUCGUUUUGAAUUGUGCUCAUCUUGCACAUUUACUAAGGUGAUUUAGUAACUUAUGAUUUCAUUCCAUUUGACACCAAAAUCAAAAUUGACCCCCUUCUUUUAUAACGGUUUUUUUUUCUAAAACCAAAAACCCAGCUUUGCAGAUACGGUCUUUCAGCACUUUCGGGGGAAGAUUUUAAGGCUAUGCCCGCUAAAUGGCCAAAAUAAAAUAAAAACAAGGGUGGCCGUUUGGGCAAAAUCAGCCUUCUGGUGUCCCUUUCGAGAACAUUCGGCUAUUCUUAACAACAACGGCAUCACUUUAUCUAUUUACAAUAAAAAAACAACUAUAUUUCAUUUUCGGCUAUUUUCCUUAUUAUUACUUUUUGCAAAGAGUGAAGUUGGAUCCGACGAGGGUUGCUUUCGUAUCUCACACCCUGUAAGAAUCAAACUAUUGUAGUUCGGGCAAACAAAGCUAUUUUUGAGACUUUUUCUUUCUUUUAUUCUUAUUUUUCCAUUUCAUUAAAAACAAAACUAUUUUGAAAACAAGGUUUUUCUCUUUUUCUUGGGCGAAUAAAACAGACUCUCUUUUUUUGCUUUUUUUUGUUCAUUUUUUUAUAAAAUUCAGCAGAGCUUCGGCAGUAUUUGGACAUUGGUUUUUCUAAAAUAGGUGAUUAACUCUCCUUACCCCCCUAAAAUACGGUCAACAUGAGAAUUCUAAGUCAAUAGUUAAUGGUUCCGAUUUUCAGAAAUUUGAAUUUUGGAUUUUGUGACUNNNNNNNNNNNNNNNNNNNNNNNNNNNNNNNNNNNNNNNNNNNNNNNNNNNNNNNNNNNNNNNNNNNNNNNNNNNNNNNNNNNNNNNNNNNNNNNNNNUCACAUUUGAUUUUUCAAUAGAAAGGUAAGAGAAAGCUUUGAACAUUAUGAAUUUGGAGAUAGANNNNNNNNNNNNNNNNNNNNNNNNNNNNNNNNNNNNUUGAACAUUAUGAAUUUGGAGAUAGACUCAAUCGAAAUUGAAAGGAUGAAUCAAACCCAAUCAAAAGGGAAGAAGGAUUAGGAUUUCUUUGACUUUUAGUAAAAAUUAAGGAAAACAGAACUCAAGGUGCAAGUACAAUAAAAAAAGCAGUUCAAUAAUCCGGGAAAGUUUUCAUCUAUUCCAGAAUAAAUAAAUGCACAAGUAAGAUGCAUCAGGAUGGUCCGUUAUUUCGGGUUCAUCUGUCCUAGACGAACCCAACCCUUGUGUUGAGCCCCCUAAGUCAAAUGCAUGAUGCAGAUAAGCAUUCCUACUAGGGACCCGUCAUGAGGUUAAGUUAUUCUAUGUCUAAAACCUGGGUAUUCGUUCUAAACUGUGUGCCCAAGUGGACAACUUGAGUCGAGGAGGGGGCUACGUACCGGGGACCCGCAAGAUCGUCCGGCUUAGUAACUUGUCUGAGCUUCUUUCUUAUUUUAGUUUACUCAAGGCUUUUCAUCCUUCUUGCUAUCUCAUCUUGUUCAGGCACUUGAGUCGAGGAGGGGGCUACGUACCGGGGACCCGCAAGAUCGUCCGGCUUAGUAACUUGUCUGAGCCUCUUUCUUAGUUCAAGGUAUGACACUAACAGUUCAAGGUAUGACGCUAACAGAACAGGGAGUCUCAACCAGUGAGCACAUCCCUGCAGAUAAGAAGAGAAGGGUCUCGUAACAGUUUAUAUGUACAAUCCAAAUAAUACUAAAGCGGUAAAAUAACAUUUAACACAUUGGGUACAAUUAUGCAAUAAAAUCUGAUAACAAUAAGUCUAAAUACAACAAUUAUUUAAAGUUCGAAUUCUUGAACCCUGAACCAGAGAUUCUGGGUUAGUUCCUCAGUAGAGUCGCCAGAGCUGUCGCACCUCCUUUUGGACACUAGAACCUCGGCGAAGGGCAUAGAUAAAGGGAGUUUUUCCAAUUAAUGGACGAUCGAAAUGGGAUUUAUUUAUUUAAGAGAUUUCAGAGUCGCCGCUUGGGAGAUUUAUGGUGUCCAAAGUCACCGAUUUAAAUCCUGAAUCGAGGAAGAUUUGAUUUUGUUAACAGUCAGCGAACUAGAAAUCUAGGUAAGGAAUUCUGUUAACCUGGGAGAAGGUGCUAGGCCCUCCUGAGUCCCGUAGUUAUAGCACGGUCGCUCAACUAAUAUAUUCGGCUUAAUUUAUCUGAUUUUAAAACAUGUCUUAACUUAUGCGCUUUUUAAUCUUAAACUGCUUUUAUUAUUAUUUUUAAAGAGAAUUGCAACGUUGUUAAAACAUGUCUCGAACGAUGUCACGUAAAUACACCCGUGGAUUUCGACACAUUUCAACUAUGUUGAGAUUUGGAUUUAGGUCACAUAAAUGCGCACUGGAAUUUAGGAAGAUACAUUAUUUAACUAACGAGCUUAAAGACAUUUCGCGUUUGAGUCUACGAGGGCCACGAAAAUUCGCUAAGUGUUGCACCUCGAGUUAUAAGGAUUAAAACAAUAGUUAAAGCGAUGGUCAUGCAUUUGAAAUUUACUUGGCACGGCACAUCCUAAUUACUAACAGAAAAUUCGAACUAAGAUUUUAGGAUCUUUAACUACUCUUCACAAUUGAUCUUGUUGCUACUUAAAAUUACAGCAUAUUAUUAAAACCUAAUCGACACAUUCCAAACGUACUCACGAAUUAUUGCAACCAGGGUCAAAUAGGUGAACAACGCUUAAAUAUAAACGAUCCAAAGUUUUGUCCAUGAAUUCGAGUGAUAGAAGAAAGGUGAACGCUUCGGAUAUUGUGCAUAAACAAACACUCUUAUGAAAUUAAACACAGAUCCUGACAAAUCAACUAGUUUUAAAGGGUUCUUACGACUUCAAUUCAGCAUUUACAAAAGUAAAGAAAAACGGAAGACAAAGAGAGAUGAACCACAAACUCAUGACAUAAGCCAAGACUCAACCACCUCCUACCUUACAACCCUAAUACUCGCCAUCCACGUGUUCCUAUCAAGUGUCAUGUCCUCAGAAAUCUGAAGCCUCGCCAUAUUCUACCUAAUCACCUCUCUUCAGUACUCUUAGGCCGCUCUCUACCUCUUCUCAUGCCCUCCACAGUUAGUUGUCCAUACCUCUAAAACAAUGCUAAUUAAUUUGUUAUAAUAUGGUAGAUUAGGUUGAUUGUAUACACUAACCAUGUACAUAAAUUAAAGAUAUUGUAACAGUCCAGCCCGCUAAUAAUAAUAUUCGUUUUGGGUCUAAGCCGUACGAGUUUAAAAUACAUCACUAGAAUUUAAGGCUUAUUAGUUUAUAUACCAAGCAUUUCUUGUGUUUUACCGACCUGGGACUCCUUCUCACCUCUGGGCUGUUACAGAUACUUACUUGUACAUUGUGAUGUACACAUUUUAUAUCAGGCACCCAUUUUCUAUUACUUUCGCUCCGGGGGAUGACUAUCUCAGUAUCCAUAUUCGAACUCUCGGUGAUUGGACCAGCAAGCUCAGAGCUGUUUUCUCAGAGGUACGCAUACUUUAAAAAAAAAGAGGCAAGUAUACUAUAUAUUAUUAGAAUAUAUUGUGUGUAUGUUUUUAUUAUUGGUAGAAUAUUCCUUCAUUAUUGUACAUUCCUAUAGUUGGUAGGAUUUGAUUUCUUUCAUUAUAGUACAGUCCUAUAGUUGGUAGGAUUUGAUACCUCUCUGUACUCUAUAUAUACUUUUGUGAGCAAUACGAGAAAAUCAAUUCUCCCAAAACUCUCUACAUGGUAUCAUACGCACGUGGCUUAUCGCCAAAGAAACCCUAAUUCUUCUCUACCCGCGUCGCUGCCGUCGCUGGACUAAUCGGCAGCCCGCCGCCGCCGACCUUCUCGGUCCACCGUCUCUCUCUCCGGCGUCUUGCCGCGCCACCGCUGCACUAACUGGCAGCUCUCUCUCUUGACAUCGAUCACCGCCACCUCUGCCUCGCGCUUCAUGGCCGCUACGACAUCCAACGAUCUUGUCCAGCCGAUUUCCAUCAAUGCAUCGGCUCAGAUCCCACUUAAAUUGGAUUCCACUAAUUACCUAGCGUGGAGAUUCCAAUUCCGAACCCUUCUUAUGGGUUACGACCUCCUCGGCUUCUUGGACGGAUCAAAGUCGNNNNNNNNNNNNNNNNNNNNNNNNNNNNNNNNNNNNNNNNNNNNNNNNNNNNNNNNNNNNNNNNNNNNNNNNNNNNNNNNNNNNNNNNNNNNNNNNNNNNNNNNNNNNNNNNNNNNUAUCAUGGCUCUCAAACAACAGCUCCAUAAUCCGGUAAAAGGUUCUAAAUCUGUUACUGAUUUUAUGCACGGUAUUCGCGUGAUUGUGGAUGAAUUAUGUUGAUUCUGAGGAUCUUGUCAUUAAGGUUCUAAAUGGUCUUGAUGAUCCGUAUAUGGAGCUCUCUCAUGCUAUCCAAACCCGUGAAUCUCCAAUCUCUUUUGCUGAAUUACAUGACAAGCUGUUAAGCUUGGAGGCUCAGAUUACUGCCCGUGCCCCGGCCACCUCCGCCGCAUCUGAUUUGGCUCCGUCGGCUUCCUUCGUCGCCGGACAGCAGUCCGGCCAUAAUCGCUUCAGUGGCCGCGGGCAUGGCCGUGGAAGCCGUGGUUUAUCCUCCGGCCGCGGUGGUUACUCCAACAAUGGCCAAUCUCGCGGGUACAAUGGAAAGUGCCAGCUCUACAGUGAUUUGGCCACUCUGCGCGCCGCUGUCCGUCCUAUCCUAUUUCCAGCGCAAAUCAUCCCCCUUACGGUGGACCACUGCCGCGACCAGCAUACGCUACAUCAUCUUAUCUGGCUACUCACACAGCCCAUCACUCUCCAUCUGAUUGGAUCCUGGACUCUGGUGCCACUCAUCACAUAACCAAUGAUUUUCUCUCUUUCUCUUUNNNNNNNNNNNCACUCAUCACAUAACCAAUGAUCUUGCCAACAUGUCUCUUCACAGUCCUUACACUGGUUUUGAUGAUGUGGUUAUUGGUAACGGUGAAGGUUUAAAAUUUUCACCUACUAGCCAACUUUUCAGUUAUUCAUCUCUUUUAUUGCCUGGAGCUCUCUUUGUUCCACAUUUUCGUAAAAAUUUGAUCUCUGUUGCUCAAUUAUGUCGUCACAAUAAUGUUAAUGUUGUUUUUCUGAUACUGAUUUUCAGGUGAAGGAUCGUCGCACGUAGGCAACACUCGUCAACGUCCCACGUAGGAACGACGCCUACUACUGGCUGGCGGCUUCCCGUCAACUGUCUGCCCUCACGGCACAAAAUCUCCCUGCAUCAUUGUGGCAUUCUCGGUUUGGUCAUCCGUCAGCUAAAAUCCUACUUCAUUUAGUGUCUUCUAGCAGUAUAGCGUCCAGUAAUGUGUCUGAUUUUGCUUGUGUCUCUUGCAAGCUUCAUAAGUGUCAUAAGUUACCUUUCUCUGAUUUUGCUUGUGUCUCUUGCAAGCUUCACAAGUGUCAUAAGUUACCUUUCUCUGAGUAGAGUUUAUCUUCUACUGCUCCACUGGAGCUUAUUUUUUCUGAUGUAUGGACUUCUCUAAUUAUUUCUAGUGAAGGAUUUAAAUAUUAUGUCAUAUUGGUUGAUCAUUUUUCUAAGUACGUUUGGUUUUUCCCUUUACGCCGUAAAUCUGAUGUCUUACAAACCUUCCCUACUUUUAAAUCCAUUGUCGAAAAAUAUUUCUCUACUAAAACCAUUACUCUGUAUACUGAUAAUGGGGGUGAAUUCCUAGCUUUACGCUCUUUUCUUGCCUCCCGUGGCAUCUCACAUCUCACUUUGCCUCCUCAUACACCUCAACACAAUGCCUAUGUUGAACGCCGUCACCAUCAUAUUGUCGAUACUGGUCUUGCUCUCCUUCAUUAUGCCUCUAUCCCUCUCAUUUACUGUCCUUAUGCUUUUGCCACGGCAGUCUAUCUCAUUAAUCGUCUUCCCAAGACAAAUCUCUCGAUGCUCUCCUCCUUUGAGUCUCUCUUCCAUAGGCUCCCCAACCUUGCCAAACUGCGUGUCUUCCGCUGUCAAUGCUUCCCUUGGCUUCGGCCCCACACCUCACACAAAAUGAAACCCAGAUCUCGUGCCUGUGUCCUCUUCGGCUACUCAUCUACUCAAAGCGCAUAUUUAUGCUUUGAUCCCUCAACGUCUAAAUUCUUCACGUCAUGUCACCUUCCAUGAAGAUAUCUUCCCGUUCUCCAAAUUGUCUAACCCCGAGUCUCAUCCCGUACCCAUUCCGGUUACCCUAGAAGUCCUUCCGCUGCCUCCGCCAGUACCUACCGCCGCUCCUACUAGCGAUCCUUCACUGGACGCACUGCCGGCGCCAACGCCCGAGCCACCAACGCCUCUUACGGCACCGCCAGCGGCCCCCGCCGCCGCUACACCCACUAUGCUGCCACCUUCAUCCUCUUAGGGUGGUCAUCACAUGCAAACUCGCAGCAAAAAUAACAUCUUUACGCCCAACAAGAAGUUUGGUAUGACUGCUCUAUCCUCUCCAGCUGUAACAGAACCUAAGACUUUGUCUAGUGCUAUGUCUGAUGAGCGCUGGCGCGCUGCUAUGUCAUUGGAGUUUGAUGCUCUGCUACGGAAUGGCACCUGGGAUCUUGUUCCAAAAAAUAACAUCUUUACGCCCAACAAGAAGUUUGGUAUGUCUGUUGUAUAUUCUCCAGCUGUUACAGAACCUCAGACUUUGUCUAGUGGUAUGUCUGAUGAGCGCUGUCGCGCUGCUAUGUCAUUGGAGUUUGAUGCUCUGCUACAGAAUGACACCUGGGAUCUUGUUCCACCUGAUUCUUCAUAUAAUGUUGUGGGCUGCAAGUGGGUUUAUCGUAUCAAACGAAAGCCUGACGGUACUGUGGAUAAGUUCAAAGCCCGUCUUGUUGCAAAAGGCUUUCAUCAGCGUCCGGGUGUGGAUUUCCAGGAGACUUUCAGUCCGGUUGUUAAGCCGUAAACUGCGCAUUUGGUUCUCAGUAUAUAUGUAUGUCCGUCGACUUCCAGGAGAUUUUCAGUCCGGUUAUUAAGCCGGCAACUAUGCCUUUGGUUCUCAGUCUUCGUCAAAUGGAUGUGAACAAUGUCUUUCUCCACAGGAGGCAUACAGAGGAUGUCUGUAUGGCACAACCACCGGGUUUUGUUGACAAAGCCUAUCCAUAUUAUAUCUGUAAGUUACAAAAAGCUAUUUAUGGUCUCAAACAGGCACCUCGGGCAUAGUACAGUGAGCUCCGCCAAUGCCUUUUGGCCAUGGGUUUUGUCAACACUACCUCUGACACUUUGCUCUUCGUCUUUCAGUAUUCUGGUAUUACAGCCUAUUUUUUGGUAUAUGUUGAUGAUCUCAUAUUGACUGGUAAUGACUCUGCCUUCUUGAACCGUGUGAUUAACUCUCUUGGGACUAAAUUUUCUCUUAAAGACAUGGGUGAUCUAAGCUACUUUCUUGGUGUUGAGGUUCUCCGCAGCUUCANNNNNNNNNNNNNNNNNNNNNNNNNNNNNNNNNNNNNNNNNNNNNNNNNNNNNNNNNNNNNNNNNNNNNNNNNNNNNNNNNNNNNNNNNNNNNNNNNNNNNNNNNNNNNNNNNNNNNNNNNNNNNNNNNNNNNNNNNNNNNNNNNNNNNNNNNNNNNNNNNNNNNNNNNNNNNNNNNNNNNNNNNNNNNNNNNNNNNNNNNNNNNNNNNNNNNNNNNNNNNNNNNNNNNNNNNNNNNNNNNNNNNNNNNNNNNNNNNNNNNNNNNNNNNNNNNNNNNNNNNNNNNNNNNNNNNNNNNNNNNNNNNNNNNNNNNNNNNNNNNNNNNNNNNNNNNNNNNNNNNNNNNNNNNNNNNNNNNNNNNNNNNNNNNNNNNNNNNNNNNNNNNNNNNNNNNNNNNNNNNNNNNNNNNNNNNNNNNNNNNNNNNNNNNNNNNNNNNNNNNNNNNNNNNNNNNNNNNNNNNNNNNNNNNNNNNNNNNNNNNNNNNNNNNNNNNNNNNNNNNNNNNNNNNNNNNNNNNNNNNNNNNNNNNNNNNNNNNNNNNNNNNNNNNNNNNNNNNNNNNNNNNNNNNNNNNNNNNNNNNNNNNNNNNNNNNNNNNNNNNNNNNNNNNNNNNNNNNNNNNNNNNNNNNNNNNNNNNNNNNNNNNNNNNNNNNNNNNNNNNNNNNNNNNNNNNNNNNNNNNNNNNNNNNNNNNNNNNNNNNNNNNNNNNNNNNNNNNNNNNNNNNNNNNNNNNNNNNNNNNNNNNNNNNNNNNNNNNNNNNNNNNNNNNNNNNNNNNNNNNNNNNNNNNNNNNNNNNNNNNNNNNNNNNNNNNNNNNNNNNNNNNNNNNNNNNNNNNNNNNNNNNNNNNNNNNNNNNNNNNNNNNNNNNNNNNNNNNNNNNNNNNNNNNNNNNNNNNNNNNNNNNNNNNNNNNNNNNNNNNNNNNNNNNNNUCUUUUUAUUAUUGGUAGAAUAUUCUUUCAUUAUUGUACAGUCCUAUAGUUGGUAGGAUUUGAUUUCUUUCAUUAUUGUACAGUUCUAUAGUUGGUAGGACUUGAUACCUCUCUGUACUCUAUAUAUACUUUUGUGAGCAAUACGAGAAAAUCAAUUCUCCCAAUACUCUCUACAUAUAUUUCACUAAUUUAAUCGUUAAUCAUCGAAUUUAGCUUAAUCAUAGUAUAUUGGUCAAUUUUAUUAAUUAGGUAUGCCAACCAUUGUCAACUGGGAAAAGUGGACACCUAAUAGCUGAGUGCUUGCAAGGAGAGAACAAAAAGUGAGUCUCUUUUGAAUUUGUAGUCCCCUCAUUACAUCCAUAUAUCCAUUCACUUCAAGAGAGCAUAUUGAUUAGUUAAACCUUCACUUUCAGUAGCGUAUUCAUUUUGAGAAAGCCAUCAUAUUCGGAAUAUUACUAUUUAAAUAUUAAAAAAGUCAGAAACUUUAAAAAACUUAGUAGUAGUUCUUUUCGCGUCAUAAUGGAUAAGAAUUUUACACAAUUGUAUUUGAUAUGACAGCAUACAGAAGUCACGUGUUUAGUUACUGCAAAAUAUAUUUUUUUUACCAAGAAAAAGGGAUUAUGCUAUCCUUACAAACGAAAGUCAUAUUCUACAACUAUUCCAACUACUUUAUUUCAUAUCACUUGCUCCAACCAGAAUUGACAUUAUUAUCAAUGUUUAACACUAAUAUUCGAAAUUUCACCAAAAUUCUGCCAAUGCUGACAUUUUUGUCAAUUUUCAAAUUAUAUUUUUUUGGAAAAAGCAUUUAUGUACUUCACCAACCAAGAACUGAAAAUAAGUUAUUUAAUUUUCCUGAGAAAGUUUUUUGAACGGAAUAUAUGCAUGUUCGUCCUACCAAACACAUUAUCUUUUUUUCUUCCUAUUCCCAAAAAAAAAACUAGAUAAAUAAAUCGUUGGAAGGGUUUGUCUGUGUUGGUAAUAAAACUACAAGAAUCAAGAAUUAUCAAUUGGUAUUUUACCUUUGCUCGCAUACAUACAACUAAUGAUGAUCACGCACGUGUAAUCAUUUCAGUUUACCAAAAGUAUUAAUUGAUGGACCAUAUGGAGCACCAGCACAAGACUACAACAAAUAUGAGGUGCUUUUGUUAGUAGGUCUAGGAAUUGGAGCUACCCCAAUGAUCAGUAUUGCUAAAGCCAUUGUCAACAACAUGAAAGCUAAGGAGAAAGAAGAGAAUAAUGACUUGGAAAAUAUACAUGAAUAUAUUCCUAACCCCACAUCACAAAAGAAAAGGAACUUAAAAAGCAAGAGGGCAUACUUCUAUUGGAUUACUAGAGAACAAGGUUCAUUUGAUUGGUUUAAAGGUAUAAUGAAUGAAAUAGCUGAAAUGGAUCCUAAUGGUGUGAUAGAGAUGCACAAUUAUUGUACAAGUGUUUAUGAAGAAGGUGACGCUCGUUCUGCUCUUAUUGCUAUGAUUCAGUCACUCCAACAUGCCAAGAAUGGUGUAGAUAUUGUCUCUGGAACAAGAGUUAAGAGUCACUUUGCUAAACCUAAUUGGCGAAAUGUCUACAAGCGCAUUGCUUUUAAUCACACUAAUGCAAGAGUUGGUAUGUAGUCAAGACUUAGUACAGUUAUAUAUUUAUAGUACAAACUGAAAGCAAUGAGAACGUCUUCAAAUAUCAAACUUUCACGUGUUGGAGGCUCUUUUGGUGUCAAUUUCCGUAAUAAACUUUGUUGUUCGACUCUCCAUAAAUGUUACCAGGUGCAUUUGAAUUCUUCAAAGUAAUGCAUUUUUUAAAAAUUUGAUACGGAUACAAUCGCAUUUUGGAAUGUCAACUUAAUAUAAUAAUAAUAAAAUUGAAAAGGUGUAUUCAAGUGAUAACUUCUUUUCUUUCUGAAAACAAUUGGCACGCACUGUAGCAAUUAUUUUCAAUCACACACCAGAUAACCUAUUUUCUAUUGGAAAUUUUGCAGGAGUUUUCUACUGUGGGGCACCAGCACUGACGAAACAGCUAAGACAGCUAGCCUUGGAUUUUUCCCGCAAGACAUCCACAAAGUUUUAUUUCCAUAAAGAAAAUUUUUGAAACCAAACAGAUAAGGACGAUUUUUAAAGAAUCCAUAUCCACUAUGUCUUCUGUAUAGAAAAUCUUGCAGAUUUAGUUAAUAAAUAGUUCAGUUUUGUGUUGUUAUUCGUAUUCUUAUAACAAUAAUUUUUUUAAUAGGAGUAUUAGAUUAGAUUUGCAUGGUUGACACUUAGGCGUUUUACUUGCAUCACUGAAGGUGAUUGGGCUCAGUUUUGUUAUUGCCUUUUCCCCCGUCUUUUUUUUAACAGAUGGGCUAUGAAAACACAGUAGACCGACCAAAUCACCUUAUGACUGACCCCAACAUGUUUAUGUUCAAUAAUUUUCCAGUAAUAAUAGUACCCUAGCCUCCUUUACAUGUUUAAAAGUUCUGAACAACUAUAUAUAUNNNNNNNNNNNNNNNNNNNNNNNNNNNNNNNNNNNNNNNNNNNNNNNNNNNNNNNNNNNNNNNNNNNNNNNNNNNNNNNNNNNNNNNNNNNNNNNNNNNNNNNNNNNNNNNNNNNNNNNNNNNNNNNNNNNNNNNNNNNNNNNNNNNNNNNNNNNNNNNNNNNNNNNNNNNNNNNNNNNNNNNNNNNNNNNNNNNNNNNNNNNNNNNNNNNNNNNNNNNNNNNNNNNNNNNNNNNNNNNNNNNNNNNNNNNNNNNNNNNNNNNNNNNNNNNNNNNNNNNNNNNNNNNNNNNNNNNNNNNNNNNNNNNNNNNNNNNNNNNNNNNNNNNNNNNNNNNNNNNNNNNNNNNNNNNNNNNNNNNNNNNNNNNCGUUAAAGUUUGUGACAAUAUUUAUAUAUAUAUAUUGUCACAAACUUUAACGACUAUCUAUCUUUUAUCUCCGAGUGAUAGAAACUAAGGAUUCAUCAAACUACAUAGAGAAUCAAGUUAUUUGUUAGUUCUUACAGAAUACACGCACACUGCAGUAAGUAAAUGACACAAUGGAGUUUUAUGACGAAAACUUCCAGCUCACGGGAUUAAAAAUCACGACCUAUCCUUGUAUGAUUUCAACUUCACUACUAAGGAAACUUCAUAUUACAACCUAUUGUAACCUAGGAAUUAACCUCUUAAUCUCACUAACUUGUAACAACUCUAUUACAAAGCUUUAUAACUCGACUAACUCUAGCCAAGACACAAACACAAAAGUUUAUGAUUUACAAGAGUUUCCUAUAUUAUACUUCUAACUAAGCUAAGUAAGAAUUACAAGUAAAGUGCUUCAACAAAGGUGCAACACAACUAAGGACAUGUAAUGACUCAAUACAGGAAACUGGUCCUUUGCGAUGUUGUUCUUUGUUCUUGAUGCCCUUGAGAAUCACUUGCAAGAUUGACACAGACUUGAGAGAAUGCUUGAUAGGUUCUUGAAUGUGCAAUUAUUUCAUUUUACCUUUGCUUGAUGCUAACAAUUCUUGUAACAUCACUUGAAUGAUGCACGCAAGUUUGGUAAAGGCAUAAAGUUGUUUAUUGCACUAUCUUGUACUAUUGCCUGUGCUGGCAGCAAUUUUACAGCUGUGGGGAGUAGACUUGUAAAGUCACCAAGGGAACUGGUGGCCAUAUGUUCCCUCUGUUGUUCCUUUGACUCUAAAAAGUUGAACCACAUCCCCAACUGGAGACCUGUUGAUCUUAAGUACUUGAGGAUGUGUAACAGGUUCCUUAUCUGGUUCUUAACAUUAAGUUUGUUAGAUUAUCAAAACAUAACAGGUAUACAUAUAAUCAAUGAAUUUUUCCUUUUUUGAUGAUGACAAAUUUAUAAUUGAAGUCCUCCAUAAGAACCAGAAUGACACUCGCAUUUCCCAUAUUCCCCCUGAAUCUGUUCCAUGUCUUGUUCCCCCUCAGUUAUUUUUCCCCCUUUUGGCAUCAUAAAAAGAUCAACAACAAUUAAUAAGCAAAAGUAAGUCUAGCUUGGUUAACUCAUGCCACAUGUGUGCACAUAAUCAUGACUAAAAAGAGCAAGAGAGUAAAACAUACAGAGCAAAAAGACGAAACUUUCAUUAAUUUUUGAACAUUAAACAAGGAGCACUUCCAUUGUUAUCAAAACAUCCACAAAAUAAGAACAACAAAAAAAGAUUCCAGUCAUAAACAUCAUUAAGACCGAAAUAGAGGACAUACUCACUACUAAAAAAAUCUAGUUUUAGCGACGGACAAAUUUUGUAGCUAAAUAGAGAAAUCUCUUGCUAAUCUUAUUUAGCAACAUAUUAGUGAAAAAUUAUCAAGAAACUCUUCUAGUUACGAGCAAUUUAGUGAUAGAUUAGCAAUAUAAUUCGUAGCUAAUUCCAUCUUUUCUUUUAGUAGUGACUAGAAAUCUUGACACUAGGAAGGGAACAAUUUUUAGCGAACACUGGAAGAGAAGGCCCAAAUGAAGAGGCAAGAGUUCUAAGAAGGAUGUCCAUUCGAGCAUUACCUGAAACCUGCUCGUUGAGCAGUCUCUCAUUAAGGUCCUCAACCUGUUUCAUAUGGUCAGCAUUUUGUUUUGUCAGACGGACAACCUCUCUUCGUUGAGAGCUGCUAGAACCAGUUACCUCCUGAACCUGACUAGCUAAAAUUCGAGAAUGGAAUUCCUUUCCUUCACCUCCUUAUCUCUUUAGUGGCAUUAUUUUGAGUGUUGGUCAGCUCAGAAAUAGUAGUAUUAUUGUACAUCCCUCCACUUCUGUCACUGCAUUCACACUCUUCUAGGGUGGUCUUGGAGAAGGCUUGCUUGCGAGUUCCCAGCUUAGCUUUUUUAAGGGACUGAAAAAUUCAAAACUUUAGUGAGGAGGAACCCGUAAGGCAAACCAUGAUUACCGUCCUUGAACCGUGACACCUUGUUCAUGUGUUUUAUCAUAAGUCCAGGAAGAUUUACAGUGGUGUAGCCAUCUAGUGCUUCCAUGAGAACCAAGUCUACUCGUGAAGUAAUGGACCGUCUUUCUACGCCUGGGGAGCAAAAAUUUGUUCACCAAUUCAAACAGCAGUUGGCACUGGAAGAUGGUCCUUCUUGUGUACUCGUUCCCCCUGAAUUUAUGUCUUAUCCUUCACGAUGGCAUUUCUAAAGUUAGAAGCACAGGUUCCCUUAAUGGCGGACAUUUACUCAGUCGAAGAGGGUGAUCGCAUUUUAAAGAGGGUGUGAGAUUUUGUGCUUUCGGUUGGACACCUAAAUCUCAUUAUGAGAGGAUCUAGGUUCUUCAGGAUAUGAUCCAUAUGUACUGUUUCUCACCUCAGCAAUUGUUGUUCCAUGUACAACAUCCACAACUAUGAUUUCUGCUUCAGUUGUCAUGAUUGAGGGACCAAGUUCCUCUUUGUCAGCUGAAGAUUCAAUUGCGCUAUUAUCAUUUGAUUCCUUGACCUGCAUCAUCAUAUUUGUCUUUCCAUUUACCAUAUGAAUGAUUUUACCAGGGAUAUUUGAUAGCUUUCCAUCUUGAUCAACCUUAUGUGUGUAGCUCUUCAAGGAGGGUGACGUGUUUCGUCAAAUAUCAAAUGUAUGCUUUCCUCAACACAUUGAGUUCUUUUGUUUUAUACCUUGUAGGCUUUUCUUUGUGAUAAAUAUCUAAGAAAUAUUCCUUCAUCAAACUUUCCAAAAACCUUACCAUUAUUGAGGACAAAGCAUUUGCAACCAAAUGUCCUCAAGUGUGUUAGCUUAGGUUUUCUCCCAUUCAUCAGUUCAUAUGGGGUUUUGUUCAUGAAAGACCUAUUCAUGCAUCUGUUCACUAAGUAGCAUGCAGUGUUGACUUCCUAUGCCCAGAAACUUUUUACAACACCACCAUCAAUCGGCAUUGUCCUAGCCAUAUUUUCAAGAGUCGUGUUUUUCCUCUCCACAAUAGCUUUGUUGAGGCGUUCUUGGAGCUAAAAAUUGUGAAAUACCAUUUUCAACACAAAACUCGUCGAACCUUACAUUGUCGAAUUUCGUAGCUUGAUCAGAUCUUAUACUCAUAAUAAUAUGGCUCAUCUAUACUUGAAUUUUCUUGGCAAAAGCAACAAACACUGAAAAGGUCUCAUCUUUGGUUCUGAGGAACAAGGUCCAUGUGAAUCCAGAGUAGUCAUCCACAAUGACGAAAAUGUACUUCUUUCCUUCUCUGCUUGGCAUUUUUAUAUGUCCACAUAGAUCCAUAUGGAUAGAGACCAUGUGGCCUUGAGGUGAUUACUUCCUUUUUUGGUUUGAAGCAGGACCUGAUCUGAUCUCCUUUUAUGCAUGCAUCACAUACCUUAUGAUCUUUGAAGCUUGACUUAGGCAAUCCACGAACCAGGUGCUUCUUGACCAACUUGUUCAGUAAUGUAAAACUUGUAUAUACCAACCUUUUGUGCCAUAGUUCAAUAUCAUCAUCCAUAACACAUAGACAUGUGAUAUCCCCAUUAUGUAGUGACUCAAAAUCAACGACAUAAAUCUUUUUGUAUAUUUUUGCUAUCAGGAUCACAUUACCAGUCACAAGGUUAGUGACUGUACAUAUCUUUGAUACAAAUUCCACUUUGUUUCCCUUGUCACAGAUUUGGAAAACACUCAGCAAGUUGUACUUCAGCUCGUUCACCUAGUACAUAUUUUCAAUUGAGUGAGAGAGAGAGACUUCACAAUCCUUCCAACUCCCAGAAUAUAUCCCUUCUUGCCUUUUCCAAAUGACAUACUCCCUCAUUGCAAGGCCUUCAAUUGAAGGAAAUCAUUUGUGCUUCCAGCCAUGUGCUUUCAGCAGCCACUAUCCAUGUACUAUUGUUGGUUGCUCCCUUUCAGUGCCCACUACAUAAGGAAAUCAAACGUUAAACUUAAGAACCCAAAUAAUUUUGGGUCCCUUGUAAUGAGAAAAUGGGUGAAUCAAAGUUCUUUUUUGUCCAAGAAGGAAAUACACGUUUGUUAUAUGAUAGAGCAAGUUUUUUAGCAAUAGUUACUUUUUCAGCAAAAACCUUGUUUUAUUGGUGGGAGUGGAAUCUGGCUUUACAUGUUUCCUUAAAAUGUCAGUGACCACAGUGAGUGUAGAGCCAGUUAUCAGGAAUAGUAACGUAUUUGUUAUGUGGGUUGUAAGGGGUUUUUUUCUUUUUGGAACUCGAUUCCGUGCUUGUUCCCCCUACUAUUCUUAUGUAUAGCAGUGAUUGCAUCAGAGGACCAAGUCCACUUAAGAGUGUUUUCUAGGUUACUCUUCACUCAGCCUAGAUCUUCCCGAAGUUGUAUAUUUUUCUCAAGCUCAGCAUACAUAGUAGAUUUUACUAAUUUUAGCUCAUUUUCAAGCCUAAGGUAUGCAUCACUUGCAACUUUCUUUCCCCUUUGAGCAUUCACAAGCCUACUUUCCCUUCUUAGAUCCUCAAUUGUUUCAUUUAGGUCUAUAGCUACUACUAAUAGGACAUCUCUCUCAUGCUCUAUAUUUGCAAUUAUCUCAGUCAAAAUAUCUUUUUCCCCUUUUUAAACUCUCAAUGGUAUCUCUUAGAUCAACUGCAACCACCACUAGAUCAUCUCUCUCGUGUACUAUUUCUCCUAGUUCCAUAGUUAGGACAUUUUUAUCAUUAAUGAGACUGUGAUAUGCAUCAAUUAAAACAUUAGCCAAGGAUAUAAGCUUCUUUUGAGAAUAGAAUUUCAAAUUCUUGAACAUCCAGAAAGUUUACCUCAUCUUCAUCUUCAUCGUCAUCCUCAUAAUCAUUUUCUAAUAUAGCCAUUAGAGCAUAUGGAAUCAUAUUCAGGUACUUCACUUUCCACUUCCAUCAUGGAGCUUUCACCUUAAUCAUCAUCAUCUCUAGAUUAGCUGGAAGAGUCCUCCCAUGCAACAAGAGCUUGUUUCACAACAUUGUCAGCAACAUCUUUUCUCUUGAAAUUUUUGUCACGAACCUGGUUCAUUUUGCCUCCUAUGUCUGUGUUGUGUGAUUUGUCUUAAGGAGAGGACAUUCCUUAAUGAAGUGUCCUGAAUUCCCGUAUUUAUGACAUAGUUCGUAUCCUCUUAGCUUGCUUGAACUGCUUCCAUUUAGAAUACCUCCAUUUCUGCAAACUAUUUUCUGAAAUCUCUUAGACAGAUAUGCCAUAUGAGCAUCCUCACUUCCUGAGUCAUUGUUGUCUGUCUUGAGGACCAGGUUCUUCUCUCUUUUGGGAUCUCUUAUCUCAUUUUCAUAAGUUUUCAUAUUCACAAUGAGUUCAUCAAUGGUCAGCUUCUACAAAUCCUUUACCUAUGUGAUGUCGUUUACCUGCUUUCCCGGGAACCAGGUAAUACACUAAGUAUUUUCUAGACAAGUUUGUUCCUGAGAAUUAUUUCUCCCAGUGAGUGAAGCUCAUAGAUGAUAGAGGUGAAGCGAGUGUUCCUGUUCUGAAUGGACUCGUCGUCCUUUAUUCUGAAGAGCUCAUACUCAGUUGUCAACAUGUCAAUCUUCGACUGUUUGACUUGAGUUGUCCCUUCGUAUGCUAUUUGAAGAGAUUCCCAAAUCUCCUUAACACUCUCACAAGAUGAGAUGUGGUUGUAUUCACCUAGUCUGAUGCCAUAGAGAAGAAUUUUGCUUUGCCUUGAAAUUCUUCUCAAUAUGCUUUCUAUCAACAUCGUUGUACUCUUUUCUCAUUUUUCAGACUGUAGUUGUACCCUCACCAACAAUUUUCACGGGAACAAAAGGUUCGUCACAUAUUACAUCCCACAACUCUUAGUCUUCUGCCAUGAUGAAAUCAUGCAUUCUUGUUUUUUCACCAACCAUUAGUAUUGGCCGUUGAAUCUAGAUGACAUGUACAUUGAUUUUCCCUCCUCGAAGUUUGGUGGAGCAGCCAUGAUGAAGAUCCUUUUUAGGUGUUAACUUUUUAGAAAGAACCUGCUCAGAUACCAACUGAUAGAAACUAAAGGUCCAUCAAACUAUAUAGAAAACCAGGUUCUCUAUUAGUUCCCGCAGAACACACGCACACUGCAGUAAGUAAAUUUUAUAUGAAAAACUAUCAGCUCACGGGAUAAAAAGUUACGGCCUAUCCUUGUAGGAUUUUAAUUUUACUACUGAGCAAACUUCAUAGUACAACCUAUUGUAACCUAGGAAUUAACCUCUUAACCACUCACUAACUUGUCACAACUCUAUUAUAAGCCACUUUGUAAUAAAUCUAUGAUAAAGCUUUACAACUCGACUAACUCUAUCAAAGACACAAACACAAAGAUUUACGAUUUACAAAAGUUUACUGCACAAUGCUUCUAACUAAGUUAAGCAUGAAUUACAAGUAAAGUGUUUCAACAAAGGUGCAACACAACUAAUUAGGACAUGUAAUGACUCAAUAUAUGAAACUGGUCCUUUGUGAUAUUGUUUUUAUUCUUGAUGCCCUUGAGAAUCACUUGCACAAUUGACACGGACUUGAGAGAAUGCUUGACAGAUUCUUGAAUAUUCAAGUGUUUUUUUUUAUCUUUGCUUGAUGUUAAUAAUUCAUUUGUGACAUUACUUGAAUGAUGCAAGCAAUUUAGGUAAAGGGUAUUCCCCAUAAAAUUGAUUGUUGCGCUGUUUUGCACUAUUGCAUGUGCAUGCAACAACUUUGCAGUUGUGGGGAGUUGACUUGUACAAUCACCAAGGGAACUAGCGGACAUCUCCUCUCUGUUAUUCCUUUGACUCUGAAGAUUUGAAUCACGUCUCCGACUGGAAACUUAUUGAUCUUAAGUACUCGAAGAUGUGUAACGUUCCUUAUCUAGUUCUUAACAUUAAGUUUGCCGGAUCAUCAAAAUAUAACAGGGAUAGAUAUAACCUAUCAUGGAGUAUACAGCAAUAUAGUGACUCAGAGUUACCAAACCAAUAUUCUUUUUUUCACAAGUUUUCAAUGGAGAACCACCUUUUUGGAGCAAACAUACAUUUUAAAAAUACAUGAGUUGCUCCAAAGAAAAUUAAUCAAAACUGAAAAGACAUGACCUGGUGUCGACCUUUAUUACAAACUACUGAAUAUAGAUGCCUCACCAUUCAUGGAGCUAGACUCUUGGUCAGAUCUACAUAUUUCCAUAGAUCGAGAAAACAGGAAAAAAUUCCAUCACCUAACUGCUAAAGUGCAAGGUAAGGUCCCAAGUUCUAAAAAUAUAUAUACAUAUAUAUAAGCUCCCAAGUUUUAAGAAAGUACGGAAGCAAAAAAAGUAAUCUUGUAAACAAACAUAAGCAUAUUAACAUCAUAAAGAACCACAGACAGACCAGCAUGCAGAUCUGGAAGGCUGUUGUGAAUACAAAUCCAGCGCUGACAGAGAUGACAACAAGAUGCCACGAGAGAAGAACCCAUGGUUCUGCCACGUAGGAGUUCUAGAAAAGUAAUAGCACCAGCUAGACUUGAGGAUUCCGUUUGGAAAGGUGGGAGAUCACGUGAAUAGGACAGAGUUUGUUACGGAAAGUGAACUAUUUUAGCAACAGCAGUAUGUCAUUAAGAGGCAGGCAAUUCCGUUAUGAGUCAACUCUGAUUUCCAUCUUCUGGUUUCUCAAACUCUUUCCUCUGGCACCUCACCUGCUUCUUCUAUCCUUAGCUCUUUAAUUUCUGCAAUUCCUAUUGUCUUGUAUUAAUUGGUUAUGACCUUUUCCUAUUUGAGUUGUAAUCACAUACCCAUCUUAUUAACAAAGCUGAAUCUUUUGGUUACUGUUUCAUUGACUUUGAGUUGAGAAUUGAGAAUACAACAAAGGAGGUACAGAAAGCAUACAUGUAUACAAAGUAAUCUGCUAUAUUGUACAGUUUAUUCAUGAACACAGAUCCCUAACAUCAUAAAACCGGGCUCCUAUGGAUGGUCUUAGCUGUAGAUUUGCAGUUACGAGUUCGUUUGGUUAACAGUUUGGGAUGAGUGUGAUUAAAGAAUAUUAAUCAGAGGGAUUUAUAAAAAGUAUAUAACAUAAAUCUCUCUUUAACAAAACUAAAAUCUAAUCCUACAUUACUAGAAUACAUUUUUGCUGCUAGUGUUAGCAAUUUUCUGUCAGUCGUAGCUUACCUUGCUCUUAGGCUGUUGGAAGGAAAAGAAGAGAGUAUUAACAUCGAGACAUCAUUAAAGUGAACGUAGCAAGAGGACUAAAAUAAACUUAACAAAUGCAUCUACUACGGCCUAUAUAAGCAACUAGGACAAGAAUCUUUUAAUUCAGAACUUAGGGAAGAAUCCAAAUUCAUUGCCUGUUCCGAGGAAAAAUAUAUACUACAAAAUUUUGGGGAAAUGUUUACUGGCUUGGCCAUUUGGUAAGGUAGGGGGGAAAGAAAGAAGAUAUAGUAAAGGAAAAUAAAAGAACAGCAUAGCAUCUAACUCUAAACAUCCAAGUCCUUCUAGCAUUCGCUACUUCGCCCGUCAUUAAUUAUCACGUCUACUCCUUCUACGAGGAGCAGCGGCAGCAUCUUCAUUCUCCUCUUCUUUCUCCUCUGUAGCUCCUUGGUUGUUAGAAGUUGAUGCCUCAGCACCGUCACUUUUCUUAGGCUCUGCAGUAGCUCUUGCCUGCACAAGCAAGAAUUCUUUUAUCAAAAACAUAUCCGUUACAAGCACAAAAGCAGGUGGAUAUUUCUUUUUUUUUUCCUUUCCUUUUUGCUUGGGGGAGGGGAUGGGAGGAAAGCUGAGGCUGACUUCGGACUUACAGGUUGCUGUUUCUUCCCACCAAAGAUGACCUUCAAGAGAACUGUGAAAAUGACAACUAUAAUUGAAAUGACAACACCAAUUGUGAGAUUUGGCUGUGUUUCGGCCUUCUGAAGAAGAUCCUACACGACAUGUCUAUGUAUUAGUCACACAUGCAAAAAUGAAACAACAUGCAACACAGAACACCAGUCAUACACUCACCAGUAUUUUGGACUUGUGUUCACCCAACAAGGGGAUGUCAGCCACCUUGUAGAGAAGAUCAAAUACCACUUUCUGCAGAAUGUUCCAAUUUAUCUCAAGUCAAGUGACGAAAUACAAAGAAAAACCAAGAACGAUGGAAUGUAUGGUGAAGAAAGCACAAUCAAUUACCUGGAAUCCUUUGAGCCCACCAGAGUUUGCUACUUCCUCAGCCUUCUGUUUCUCUUUCUCUGCAUCAAACUUGGGCUUCCAUGCAGUCUUCCUGUAUGAUUCUGCAACUUUCUCAUCACUUGCUAUCAAGAUAUUGUCAAACAAUAUACCAUCUUGCAUUGUCCAUAUUUCAAUUCCAAUUGCUGCAAUGGGCUCAAAAUUAGGCCUGUCGAGUUUGAAGUAGUUAGGAUUUGGAAUAUCCCUUGGCUUCCAAAUACCCUUGUAAUUGGGAUUGUCAAUUAGUGGAGCAUGCCAUUUUCCCUUGUAAGCUGGAUUACUCUUCAUUGGUCUUUUCCACUCCCCACAUCCAGGGCCUUCUGCACACUUCGGGUUAUCAAUUUUUGGAGCCUCCCAUUCACCAUCUUCCUCAUCAACCCAAUCUUCAGGCUUUGUUGCCUCAGGAUCAUCGAUCUCUUCAGGCUCAUCAUCCAACCAUCCCUCGGGCUUCUCAGCAUCUUCAUCUUCAAUUUCCAUUGGUGCAUCCUCGUCCCAAUCAUCUGGGUCUGGAAUUUUUGCCCUCUCAUCCCAGUCCUCGGGCUUCUUAUCUUCUGGAUCUGGACUGGUCUCUGCAGGAAUGAGAGGUGGCUCAAGGCCCUCUCAUCCCAGUCGUCGGGCUUCUUAUCUUCUGGAUCUGGAAUGGUCUCUGCAGGAAUGAGAGGUGGCUCAAAAUCAUCAUCUGAAAGGAAGUUUGCCUUCUUUUUCUCAUCCCCAUCAAUCAAGAUCAGCAACUCAUUGUCCGGCUUGAGCACAGCAGUGUAGACAUGGGUUAGUUUGUCAGAAGGUACAGAUGGUGGAAACUUAAGGUGGUGCUCGAUGUACUCCCCACUCUUAGGAUUCUUGUGUUUCAAGAUGAAGUGAACCUUGUUUGUGGCUCCGCAUUUGUCUGGUCCAAACAUUAUAGUAUAGGGAGAAUCGUUGUUGAAAUCCUUGGGAAUCCAACCUGCCUCCUGGGGCCGGAGGUAUUUAAGAUAAGCACCACCACAUUCAAGUCCAUCCUGGAGGCGAACUUCAUAUGCAUUUGUCUGGUCCAAACAUUAUAGCAUAGGGAGAAUCGUUGUUGAAAUCCUUGGGAAUCCAACCUGCCUCCUGGGGCCGGAGGUAUUUAAGAUAAGCACCACCACAUUCAAGUCCAUCCUGGAGGCGAACUUCAUAUUGAAGAACCACAGUUCCAUCUUUGAGGUCGACAACAUCGUCAAGCUCCUUGACAAUAGCAUAUUUCCUUGCCUUCUCACUCACAAGAAGCCCAUAGUCAUCAUGCCCUUCACUCUUGGCAUGUUUCCACACACCUGAGACACAAUUACAACUCAAUAUGAAUGCUUGAAACUUCAACAUCAAAGAUUGACUCAGCAUCACAAACAUAAAGACAUUGCACAACGAUAUAAGAAGCUCUUCAGGGAGAAAUUUAUCUAAACCAUCAAAGUUCUGACUUAGCAUUAUAGACAUAAAGGCAUUGCACAAAGGCAUAAGACACAUUCAAGUGAGAAUUAUUUUACAGCUAAUGACAAACAGAAUCAAGGAGUUCUACAUCGCUUCAAAACAAAUGUGCUUGAAACUUCAACAUCAAAGAUUUGACUCAGCAUCACAAACAUAAAGACAUUGCACAAAGAUAUAGGAAGCUCUACAGUGAGAAAUUUAUCUAAACAAUAAAAGUUCGACUUAGCAUUAUAGACAUAAAGGCAUUGCACAAAGGCAUAAGACAAAUUCUAGUGAGAAUUAUUUUACGGGUGAUGACAAACAGAAUCAAGGAGUUCUACAUCGCUUCGAAACAAAUGGAUAUUGGGACAUGUCCGUCAUUGUGAACACAGUUCUGCAGCAUAUGCACAGAGUAUUAAUGGAUUUGACAGAGUUCAAAAUUUUGACAGGGUGGAAAAUAUAUGAUACACCUUCACAGUAAUUAAUGGAUUUGACUGAUAGUAUAUAUACUUAAAUGACAACACAAAGCAUCUUUAUCACCUUACUCCCUUGAUUUUAAUUUGUAGGUAUAGAAUGAUGCUGUCACAAGUAACAUCUUAAAGAUAUUACAGUAUUGAAUAAUGAAUAUCACUCCACUCGGUUUUAGCUAUAAAAAAUCGUUAUAAACUUGAAUUAGCAUACUUCUCUAACAUAAUAUGCCACAACUCCACCCUCCCAAGGGUAGGACAUCAGUAGAAUGUCUCUCCCAGAAAGCGAAGCUGGAUUCCUAAUAAUGCUGUAUUAGCCAUAGAGUUGCAGUUCAAGGAGAGAACAUAAUCAAAUGUACAAUGUCCCCAUCCUUAAGGGGUCAUUUGUUAGGGUGUACAAGAAUAGUGUGGGAUAAGGUGUGUUAGUAAUGCAGGGAUUGGUAAUGCAUAGGUUAGUAAUGCAAGCAUUAGCUAUGCAGAUAGAUAUUAUUUCUCAUCGACUGUUUGGCGUGGUGCAUUAUAAAUUAUAAUGUAGUGCAUAAUUUUUCAGAAAAAUAGUUAUUUACAAAAAUAUCAUCUAUAUUCUCUAGGUUUAAAAAACUUUAAGUACAAUUGUCUUUAACUCUACUAAUGCAUGCAUUAUUUUCUAUGCAUUACUUAGAGAAAGGAUAAAACCAAGUAUGAUGUAUAAAAAUGUAUCAGUUAUACACAGGUUAGAAAAAAUGUAUCAAACAAGGAGCUAAUACUUGUAUUAUUUUUUCUAAUACUUCCUACCAAACGACCCCUAAAUGCAUCCAUCCUUCAAAUUCAAGAUUAUCACUACAUUAUAAAACAUGAGUUUAGCAAUUAGUGCCCAAAGAAAAAAACACCCCAUCCGCCUCACUUUACAUUUCAACUUGGAUGACACAAAUUUGAGUAAACACCCCAUCCGCCUCACUUUACAAUUCAAAUUCUAAAUGUUAAGCAUUGGUGAGAUUUUAUUAAUCAAUUCAACUUCAACCAUAAGGAUCUUCCACCGAGGGUGUGGCCUAGUCAAUGAAGUGCGAGAACUUGGGGUCUGAGGUUUAAAUCCCUGACCCCAACCGAUUUCUUCCCAUCUAUCCAAGCUUUGGUCGAUAGAGUUACCAUAUACUUGUUGCUGGUGGAAGUGGAAGGUAUCACGCGAAAUUACUCGAGGUGUGGGUAAGCUGGUGGGACAACACACUUAUUUUUUAAAAAUCUUACACUAUGCUAAUACGACAUAUAUACAUAAAAGUCAAAUUCUUAAGGAAUACUGAACAGAUCCAGACGAAAAAAC
rnacentral:lncRNA from 1 species